rnacentral:lncRNA from 1 species
UUAUAUAGUAGCUUCAGCUCCACUCCAAAAUUUUCAUAGUGCAUAUCUAAGUCACAAGAACUUACUGGUCUUAAAUGGCUGAAGAAAAUACAAUAUGGAGCGAUAGAAUGAAAUUUUGAUUAAAGAAAAUGUCGUGAACUCGUGAUUCAAAUUGAGGUACAGGUUUUACCAUAGUACCUAUCUGUUUUCAUGCCCUGCCUGCCAAGGCCAGUUUUCAGUUACUGUCAUGCUAAGAUAAGUUGUUCAAGCUGAGUUACUGCUUCACCGCAUUAGAAUCGCAAACAAGCCCACCGACAAGGAAAGGUACACAUCACAUGACAAUUAGCAGCAGGUAUAGCACCACUGUUUUUACCGUAUAUUUACCUGGUAAAGAUGCUCCCGCUUGGACGCAACAUCACAUGGUGGCCGUGUCGCUACGAAUGAGACAAUCAGAAAAUAUCACAAUGGGGGGCUACUAAGUACGAACUUACAACUCUACCAAAGUACAGUGACCGAAAAAAAUCACAUGGCUUAAAGGAGGGGGGGGGGGGGGGGGGUUGGGUACCUAAAUCAGAGAAGCCCCAACCAAGGAUGUCCACAGCCCAAGCCUCGUGUCCAGCCUCCUCAAGCAGCGGGUACGUGUAUCUCCACUCUAGACAAGAACUGUAGCGAAUAUACUUUUAAAUCGUCCAGCCUGAUGGUUAUGUAGCAGAAUCACAAUGUUUGUUUCUAGGAACAAGGUUCCACAGACAAUGACCAGCAAUAAAAUCUGACAGUGCUAGUUGAACCACGAAAUUUGUGCUUUGCAUUGCAAGUUUGCAACCCACCUGUCGAAGCCAUGCAGCAGCACGAUUGGAUCAGCGUCCUGUUGCUGCUUGAGCGGCCUCACACAGCUGCUCUGUAUCGGACUAACCGAGAAACCGGUCUGAAGAUAGGAUAAGUUCAGACUUCACAGAAACACCGAGCAAUGAGCGUACUGCAUAGUAUAGAGUACAGAGUACAGGAUGCCUUUCUCCCCAAAGGGAGGGGAUAUCAUUAUCAAGAAAGUAGGAAAAUCUGGAGAAAUUGGCUCGCCUGGACGGGCACCCGCUCGAUUCGCUUGGCCAAGCGGAUGGCGGCGCCGUCGCGGAUGCGCUCCACCGCUCGGGGGAGGAACGACGGGAACCCGCCGGCGCUGGUGCCGCUGGCAGCGGCCCCAUCCGGGGCAGAGGCGGCGGCGGAAGCCGCGACCCUGACGCGGGCCCUGGACGACGCGGCCAGCGGCGGCGGCAGCGCCGGCAGGGAGGAGGAGGUGAGGAGCAGCGGCAUUUGGCCCUGGUCGGGUUGAGCCGCUCUCUUGCCCGCGCGCUGGACGGUUGGAGCGUGCUCUGAGCUGAACGGAUGUUAUAGGGCGCGAGGACGGUGGAGCAGGCCGCGUGGCAUCCUGUGCUGCCACGGUAUCGUGCCUCGGCCAGAUGUAAGAACAUGUGAUUCCUCAUUUCCAUCACGAGGAGAAAAUAAAGAGAAUGGACCGGAUUGAACUAUUGGCCAAUCCUCCUGAAAUUAUAUAUAAGUCGACUGCGCAUUCUUGCAACCUUACGGGGAAAAAAAAUAUAUUGCAUGUGUUUGGUUGCAUGCAUGCAUAAAUGAUCAUGGUUCAACCAAUUUGCUUGUACCAUAUGGUUCACUCUAAUUAGCAGAAUAAUUUAUUAAGUAGGAUGGCCUCAUUCCGGAUGAGUUGGUAGAAAUCACCCAACCAAACAAAAGGAUCAUUAUUAUUUUCAAUCAUUUCAUACAUGAAUCAAAUGAUGCGACCAACCAAGCACACCAGGAAAAAAAAAGACAAAUAGUUAAAAAAAGGAAUUAAAACAAAAAAUGCCAGAAAAACGAAGAAGAGGCCAACUAAAAUUUUACACCUUCUAUUUCCAUUCAAGUACUCCUAACAAUUGGGCCAAGGGCGGAGUCAGGUUCAGCUCAAAGGGGUGCUAAGUACUCUUAACAAUUGGGCUAGGAGCGGAGUCUUGUCUUCUGUACAGAACUUAGGAUAAACCGGCUAAUAUUACUUGGACUUGCACGGGCUGUGCAGCUCCACCCCUAGUGUAAGCCCCUCCCGCCCGCAAUAGGAAGAGAAGAAUGAUAAGCUCACUCUCCGUAAUCGGAUUCUCUAGCGUACAUCAUAGCGUGGUGUUACCAUUGAUGUAUGAGUCUUGUGCAUAACGUAAAAGAGGAUCACAUCUCUCUUAUUUGUUUCUAUUUUAUCAGCCGUUAAUUUUCUUAACUGUUUACGGUAGCCACUACACCUUGUGUUUUCUUCUCCUUCUCCUUGCUGGAGAUUUCCAAACAAUGAGGUUAUUUAUAAAAUUCCAUGCAGCAGAAAAAAAAACAAGUUUUAUUUUUGGGUCUUUAUGAGAUUUCUUUUCACGGGUUCUGUCACGGUUUGGAUGUUGUAUGUGCAUAAAUCAUAACAACAACCAUUGAAGAUUUUGUUUUUUUAUAGAGAAACACAUGGUUCAUGAGUGGCUUCAUCGUAAUAGUGACAUUAUUGUUCAACAUCACACUCUGUAAUGUCCACAUUGCUAAACUUAUACGACAAUUUUAAUUUUGCUCUCCAUUGCAAAAGCGAUGCACCGAUAUCUUUGCAAUAGAUACGUACCACAUCUUUUGUAUUUAUGGGUGCAUAUCCUAUGAAAAUGAACUUGCACCAGAUGAAGUUGAAUUUGCUCUUGAAAUUUAAGGAGAAUAUUAACAUACGUUUUCUGUGUGUAGCAAUGUUUCGAGGCAUUUGUACAGCCUAUUCAUCUUCACUUGAAUUUCAUGCAUUAACGAGCUCUUCCAAAAGGUUAAUCUGUUUGCGGUUAGAGGGCUUCGACAAUGGAGAGCAGAGCCUGGGUGAUUUUGUGAUGUGCAGGGCGGAGCUAGCUCAGAACGGCUCCAGUGUCAGCACCAUUAGCCCUAUUCACCCGUGGGUUUUGCUGGGUUUGCCUGAUUUUGCAAACUAGACCGCAACAAGUGGUUUAGACCGGAUUGGUUUCGUUCUAUAAGUUGCACGGAACUGGUGCUGAUGGGUUCUGUUGGGCUAGUUUCACAGUUAGACGGUUUGAACCGUUGUUGUUUGACUUCAACGAAGAAUCGUCUUCUUCCUCCAUGCUUUCAGCCAUCGUCCAUGACCUGCUGAUUCACUGGCUCGCUCUAUAGUAACGUGGGUUCUUGUCCUCGCCAAUCAACACUACCUCUACCUUUCUCAUCCUCCUUCAGUACCUCUCGACAAGUGACACUAUGCUCACAAGAAUUCUUCUCUGUUGAUUAGUUGCAGUUUGCUCCAAUUCCAGAAAUAGAAUAAGAGCUUUGCUAAAAUCUUUUCCAUGGCUUCCUCACGUAGUAAUAUCAGAACCAAUUUAGCAAGAUUGUCACUCAAUUUUGGAUCAAUUUUGGUAGGUACCACAGGACGUACAAGACUUAUCCAGAUCACACCAACUUUUAAGCGGCCGCUACGCUUGAGCACACUCCCACACAUGGCACAAUCUUAGCCGAGAUGCCGGUCAGCUGUUUGACUACGAUUCCAAUGCAGAGAUAUGAGAAGCUCCGAGGGUAGCGUCGACGGACUUGCCUCGUCUUCCAACCAAGCUGAGCGCUCUGUUUUGCUGCUGCCAUGAAGAUGCAGCUCUAUAAGAUUGCUCUCCUCUAUUGCCAUCCCGUAGACAUUCAGAUUCAUGCUUGCACUGCCAUCGAUCGCAAGGAGUUGUGGACACCACACGGAUCUCCACCGUAGGAAGCAGAAUUGUUAUUGCUGAUGCUGAAACACCACAUGCGCAGGAAUUAGGGCGGGUUGAGCAGGUUUGUGCGGUUCUAAACUGUGUUCAACCCUAACUCAUUGCUACACACACAGGCUCUAACUAGAAACCAACUAACCCGCCCAAACCCACUUCUACGGUCCGGUUAGGCUGGGUUGGCAGGUUAGCUAGUUUCGACCCAACCCGGUGAACAAGCCUAAGCACCAUUACAGGCUGGUGUGAGGUCCUUAUUAGAACAGUGCAGAACACUACUUUCUCACUUGCUGACACCGACAAAGACAAAUAGGUCUAGCUCAGCUCCUGGUGAUGUACCGGGAUAAUAAUGGGAUUUGAGUUCUAUAGAAAAUGAAUGAUUUUUAGUGUUAUAUAUCAAUGACUUUUAUGUCUGGAUCCACCUACAGUCCUCAUGAUCCACAGCCCUACGGCGGAAUCAUCAGUGCUAGGUGUAUAUAAGGCAAAACAUGCGUUCGCACGUGACACAGUCGGGACGACGACGACGUGGUGCAUGGUGCUAUGAUAUGGUGGGUGGCAUGUCAUGUGCGGCCGGCCGGGUUCGCUUUGUCACGACUCAUGGGGUGGCAUGAUAGUGCAACAGUGUGCAACUGUGCGCGCAGUACACGGGUCGGAAAUCCUGCUGGAUUCUGCCGGCCCAACGGAGAUCCGUGCACGCCUGUGCGUUUGGAGGACGAGUGGACGACGGAUCGCUAGACAACGACACGUCGACAUGUUACGAAGUUUUCGUGCACUAGUAUGUAGUCGUAGUGGUGCGUGGAUGGGACCGCGCGCGUACGGCAGAACGGCCAGGACCCAGGAGGAGUAGGGCAGCAGUACACACAACUGAUACAGCGCCAGCCAGGUCGACGUCCCGCACGAAGCGAGCGUGACCGGGCUUGUCGUCUCCUGCCGCCCGAUCCUGUAGCGGCUUCGUCCGGAGACGGCGAUCCAUGGAUCGCGAUCGGCGGCCGGGCAGCUAGCAGGUGAUGCAUGUGACGAUGCUUGAACGGGGAUCGAGCGAAACGAACAAUACGUGAGCAGGGAGCUCUCGAUCGCGAGCUCGGGAACGAAGCGCAUACCACCGCUGGUGCAGUGCUAAAUACGAUUUCGCGGGGUCGGAGCUCGCGCUCGGGUCCUUCUCUUUCUUGAUCGGGCAUCAGUUUUUUUUUGCCCCACUGCGGCUGCCCUAACACAUUGCUUGAUAUGCUUGGGCCUUGGGGCGUCAAAUUUCCGGAUUCAAAGCAACAAGACAGCACGGCAAAGGGGCUCAUGGGCCCGACUCGGAAGCAACCCACUUGAACAAACACCCGCCAUGGGCCCUCCGCCUGUGCGCUUCCAGGCUUGGAGCCGACCGAGGUCAACUCGAAAGUCCGGAGCUGGCCACUUCCAGGUGGGACCCACGUUUGACAUCCGCGCACACACCGACCAAAACCAGUCCAGUGGACGACUGGGCGGCGGCGUCGGAAGUCGGAACGGCGCCCGAAAAAACCCCAUUUCCGCCUCGCCUCGCCCCUCUCGUCCUCGGGUCCGAUGGUUAGUCUCCGCGCCGCGCGAGACCGUCGCCGGCGCGCGAUGGCGGCGGCUUCGCCUCCCCCGGUGCCCGCGGCGAGGCCGCCGCGGGUGGGGCUGCUGUACGACGAGCGGAUGUGCGCGCACGCGACGCCCGACGGGGAGGACCACCCGGAAAACCCCGAGCGGCUGCGCGCCAUCUGGCGCAAGCUCGACGCCGAGGGCUUCACGUCCAGGUACGGCGCUAGUACUGGUUCGCCUGCUCCCUUGUCCCGAGUUGACAGCAGCGUCGUUUUGGUACUAGGGAUCGAAUCAUCGAAGAGGCGAGCGGGGUGGCCGCAGUCUUUUAACUGUUUAUACGGUUCGGUUCGAAUCGCCUGAGAUGAGAAUGAGACCCUGCUCGUCCGCUCGGCCCUGCGUUUAACUUACUCUGCUCCUUCAGUUGUUGACGUGUUGUGGCCGUGCCCAUUUCGAUCUGAUGAUUGACCCAGUAAUUGCGUAAAUUAGUUGGUGUUCAUGAUUUCCCCACUAGGCUAGGUUUUAAAUCGAAAUGUCUAAAAUAUGAAACAAAAAUCUUGAAUAAUGCAAAGAAAAUAACUUGGUGAAACAUUUGGUCAGACAAUGCAUCAACUCCUCGCCAGAAAAUUAUGCUUGCGUACACUUACAAGUCUAAACGAACUUGUUAUGGUACCAAUGCAUUUUCUGAUGGAGCUCUUGCUUUUCCGCAUUAACCUUGAUGCUACUAAACUUAAGCUUAAACAUUGUCAUUACAGCUUAUGUGUUAUCAAUCUGAUUCGCCGUUUUGCUUAGUAGCAAGUUAGCAUAGUGCUUUUACAUUUGGUGAGGAUGGCGGUGGGGUUUCUGCAAUGCUAUUCUAACGUGAUUCUCAUCCAGGUGUGUGCUCCUGAAGGCGAAGGAAGCUGAGGACAAGUAUAUAGCUUCUGUUCACAGCCAGGAUCAUAUAAAGUUGAUGAAGGAAAUUAGCUCGAAGAAUUAUUCCAGCAGAAACAAGAUCACCAGGAAAUUCAAUUCCAUCUACUUUAACCAAGGUUCCUCUGAGUCCGCUGUUCUUGCUGCUGGUUCUGUCAUAAAGGUAAUUGUACAUAUUCAUUUUUUGCAUUGCAUAAGCACAUUUCCUACUUCUCUGUUGCUAUCCAGUUCCUUCUUAUUGGGGGGCAAAUCACUGAAAAGCGACUUGUUUGACAAAUAGGUAGCUGAGAAGGUUGCUGCUGGUGAGUUAAGUUCUGCUAUUGCUCUAGUGAGACCUCCUGGCCACCAUGCAGAACGUGAUAAAGCGAUGGGAUUUUACCUCUUUAACAAUGUGGCAGUUGCAGCUAAUUAUCUCUUAAACGAGAGGGUAUGUAUCUGAACCUCCCAUGUUGAUUGUUACAAGGUGUGUUCACUUUGAAAUAUUCUUUAUUCAAUUGCAGCCUGAUUUAAGCAUCAAGAAGAUACUGAUGUCGAUUGGGAUGUUCACCAUGGAAAUGCUACACAGAAAAUGUUUUAUGAUGAUCCUCGUGUAUUGGUCUUUUCUGUUCACAGGUUUGAGAAAUAAAUUUGACAUUGCUUUGCUAGUUUUGUUUAGACUUUAGACUAGCUUCAUUACCUUCAUAAUAUGAUGGUAAUAAAGUUAUGAUACCUAUUUUCCCUUGGCUACAAUAUCUGGAUUGUGUAUUCCUUUCCAUGCAAAUAUUGGGUACUUUGCAGUUAAUAGAGAAAUUUGAGAUCUGCAAUGAGCAGUUACAUAGAGCAAACCUGACCCAGUUUUAGUGCUGUUGUACAUGUAUAUAGUAAUCCAGUGCAUUGACGCCUGAAUUCCACCAGCUCAGCUUGAUCAUUCAUUACUACUAGUACUAGUCAGCCCUUCACUAUAUGAAAAUCAACCACUCAAAGUAUUGUAUCUCUCCAAGAGUUGGCUGAAUGACAUGGUUCUUGCACAAUCACUUGAGCAGUUCUAUUCAGUAUGGUGCAUUCAUGCAGCCAAUUUAAUGACGCUGUUAACAAAAUCUAUUAUUUAUUUUUCUUCAAACAGUUGGGAGAUCUGCUCACCAUUAUAUUAAGGGUGCUAUUCUAACGCUUGUUCUGUAGAUUUGAUUUUGGAGACUUCUAUCCUUAUGAGGAGGAUGCUUCUUAUAGUUUCAUUGGGGAAGAGGCUGGUAAAGGGUAUAACAUUAAUGUACCCUGGGAGCAGGGGAAGUGCGGUGAUGCAGAUUAUAUUGCUGCAUGGGACCACAUACUGCUUCCAAUUACCGAAGCUUUUGGUCUUGAUAUAAUACUAGUUUCUGCUGGGUUUGAUGCAGGUAUAUAGAUGAAAAUUUCUUUGAAACUCUUUUAUUUCAUGAACCUAUCAACUUUUUACUUCAAACAAACAUUUAUAUAAGACAACGUUGUACUAAUAGGCUUUAGUUUCUCGAUUGAUUUUAUGUGUUAGCUGUGCAAGAAAUGAGAUUUUCACUAAAGAAUUUUUAAUCUCAUUAAUUUUUGUUUUGGUAUUGACCUUUGUAUCUAAAUAGAUAGUUUUGUUCUUAACGUUCGGUUUUGAUAUUCAGUUCUGAUAUUUGACUACCGUGGUUAGCACUGGGUGAUCCUCUCGGUGGUUGCUGUGUCACUCCAGAUGGAUAUGCACUGCUACUAACAAAGGUAUGCAGUUGCAGAAAAAUGACUUUUACUCAGAUUUUCACCCAAUCAUGCACUGCACUCUCCUUACGACAUUAAUAUUUGAAUUUCCAGUAAAGUUCAGAUGAUGAUUAAAGGAUGUAAUUUUUAUGCCUUCAGCUUCAGUAAUUUCAUAUUUUGUUCUUAUGCUUUUCUGCUACCGGUUAGGAGAUUUCAUUUGAUCUCUUCCAUUUAUCUAAAAUGUCAUCUGUAGAUACUGGACAUUUCACUGUGUUGAUCAACACUUGCGUUUAUCACACAAACCCAUCAAAAAAGCAUUUGAAAAAUAAGAAUCCAUUGCUGCUCUGCUUAUCUUUAUGACAAAUCCUGCAGUUGUUAGGAUUUGAUCAAGGAAGGGUAGUGAUGGGCCUCAAGGAGGCUAUAACCUUAGGUCCACAGCAAAUUCAGGUUUUGCCUGUGCAGAAGUUUUGUUGGGGGAUAAAUUCACAUUCAACACUCUGGAGAAACAGCCACAUGAAUCUGCAUCGAGAGUUAUGCAGGCGGUAAUGCUCUGCAUGCACUAUUGCACUAUUGAUGUCUAGUUCCAUACUUACUGCGGAUUUGUGUAGCAACGCUUUGCCCUUUUCAACUCCAUAUUGGCCAUGGCCAGGUACGCAAUGAAUUGAAGACAUGCUGGCCUGUUUUGACUGGUAAACUGCCAGAGAAUGUGUCACCAACACCGAGUGAGGUGCAUUUCCUCGGACUAGAGGAAAUCCAGGCAGUCAGCAAGCGGGGCCGCGAAACUUCUGGCCCUGCUCGAGCUACUGGCAAAGUGGCAGGGCCCUGCGUGGUGCCUCAGGUCCACUAUGCGAUGGAGGGCUCCGGUGAGAGCAAGCGGUGAAGGCUGGGCGGUGAUGAAGGCGGCGAGAUGGAGGCCAAGGGGGACAGAUUGGAUGAGGACAUGGGGGUUGACUCCAAUGUCAACGACAGUGAGUCUCUUUCUCUGCUUCCCCUUACCCUUAGGGACCUAGACCGUAGGAUAAGGUACUAUACCUUAGCCUUCCCACACUCGACUCAUGUAUGUGCGUUCGUUACAGGUACCACCAGCCAGGAAGACCAAGAGGAGACAGAGCGAGAGGAUGAGCAGGGGGCCUCUGGGGAUCAGGUCCCUUUUCCACCCAGGCCUGCACUGGUCACGGCCCUGAACAAGGUGGCCGAGAGCCUAGGGCACAUGAACUCCCCGAGGGCAACCUCCGGGCAGGAGGACUCUGCAUGUUGGGAGCUUCCGAGUUUUCGGAGGACUGCCUCUGGGCAGGACUCUCGGGGCCUCAGCUUUGAUGGGCUGACCCUAGAGCACUUGGAGCUUCCCCUAGAAGCGAGGGAUGCCUUCGCCACGGCAGCGUCCCAGCUGCAUAGCACCUCUCCGGAACACCUGGUCGCACAGCUUGAGGAUGCGGCCUGGAAGGUAUCUGCAAACUGUGUGCGGGAUCUUGCUUCAUCGUUCGGACCCGCUACGAUAUCUGUAUUCACCUUUCUUUUUCUCCCGACAGAAACUCCUCCACGUCAAAGCAAUGCGGCACUCUCAUCGUCAGGUCCUCGCUGCAGCUAGGGAAGAGGUGCGCGAGGAAAUGGUGGAGCUCGCCGAGUUGAAGGUCUCCGAGUUGGAGGCCAAGCGGAAGCAAGAGGAGUGUAGGGAGCGUGCCGAGGAGGUGGCACGGGUCGCGAACGAUGCCCGGGUGAGCGCGGAGGCAUCUGCUCGCAGACUUCAGAAAAUCCUGGACUCGCGUCGGGAAAUCCUGGACUUGCGUGAAGUGGAGCUCCUAAUUCUGCAGUCCGCGCAAGUCUCUGCACGUAUAGAGCGGGAUGGUUGGGCGAAGGCGGCGACCGAGGCUCUCCAGGCCUUGUUGAAGAUGAACGCCCUUGGUGACCUUGGCUUCAAGGGCAUUACAGCCACCUCGCCCGGGCCGGUGGACUCUUUGGGUUUAACGUUCCAUUGGCUUCGGAAGGCCGCGCAGGCGACGCCCAAGGUGGCAGAGAGGUACGGGUCCAUCUGCGCCAGGGCAGCUAUGAACUUAGCCCUAAUCCUACUCCACUCCGGGGGUUGCACUCAUCUCGGGUCCGUUGCUCGGCCGGACAUGUCCUUCCUGACCGAUGAACGGUUCACAGCGGAGGUUCGGGAGGCAUCCAAGGGCUUCUACAGGAACGUGUGGGAAUGCUUCGGUAGGAGGAACGCGUUAGACUGGAUCGCGGCCUGCAAAAAGCGGAAGUCCAAAGCUGACGCCCUGAAGGACGGGGCUCCAGUAGUGAGCUGCUUCCGCCUGGAAGGAAAAGGAUGCUCCGUCGAAGUAGCGGCCGCGGCCGCCUGGAAGGAAAAGGCUGCUUUUGUUUUUGGCGCGCCACCGCUGUGCCUCGUCCCCCAAGUCCGGGUUUGUAAUUGUUAUUCUAAGGAUUGCCUCUUCUAGAGCAUCGGCCCUUGUUCGAACUCCAAAAUUCAGCACAGCCGAACCAUGUAUGGUUCGGUACCUCUGGAGUGAAAUUAGCAUGGGAGGCAGGAGAGUUUCAUUUUAUCUAAUCAUAUCCAGUCACAUGCCUUACAAUUAAAGGUCUGCUUGGUUCACCGUCACAAAAUGCCAAGCCUAAUGUUCGGCCGCCCUGAGAAAGUUUGGUAGUGCUUGGUUGGGACUUAAACUGCGGCUGUCACGCCGUUUCUUUGUUGUUUCUCGCACCGCAAGUGAGGCGUCGUAAGUUUGGCGUCGCCGCAGAUGCGGCUUGGCGUGUUAUGGCUGCCAGCCAAACACGCCCUACAUGGUAUGGAUGAACCUGUGUCGUUUCCUCUACAUUAGUCAUGGUGACGUAGCACAAUGCUAUUGCCUUUGUUUAUCCUGUCCACCUUUCCGGUCUGCAGUGGCGGAUCUAGAAAUGGGCUCCGCCCUGGGCUAACUAAUAUAAGGCUUAAAAUCUUACUAGCCAUACACUAUUAGAUAUAACAUAUUUUUCAAAGAACACAAAUAAUUAUAUAAUUAUAUUGAUUCCAAGUGUUCAACCAAUUAACUCAAACAAUACGUAGAAGAUUGAAGAUAGAAAAGUACCAAAUUAAGAGUCUUCCAUGAUAAAAAAAAAAUCAUACACAUCUUCAUGAUUUAACACCACUUGUACCAAAAAAAUCAUACACAUCUUCAUGAUUUAACACCACUUGUACCGAUAUCCUCAAUUCUACAUAAAAAUUUUAAAAAUCUCAGCUCUUUAUAAAGCAAGAUAACAUUAUAUAUUGAAAUAGACUAAUACAAGUAAACAACACGCACCUUGAGCCCUCGAUUGGUAAAUUCAUCUUACGAUUUUUUAAGCCUUGAAAAAACUUUAGAAUUGUUUCAUCUUCAAUCGAUGCAAACAAAUCCUGCUCAGUAUAGCAUAUCAUGCUACUAUUCAUCCAAUCAUCAUUCAUUUUAUUUUAUUUUUUCGAUCUUGAUAAUAUUCAUAGUAGAGAAGGUUCUUUCAAUCGUUACUGUUGCCACUAGUAAUACACCAAAGGAAAAGUUGUAUGUCUAUCAGUCUAGACCAUCUUCUCAGCAAGGUUACCAAGAUCAAUACAAGUACCAAAAUUAUUAUCAUUUCUAACUUUGUCCGUGAAUAUAGGAAGGUCACCCACAAGUUUUAUGCAGUCAUAAUUAGAGAAGUCAUCUUUAUAAAUCUUAGCAAGCUCAACUAACUUCUCUACCUCAAAGUUAGCAAAAGAAUCCCUCGGAUCAAGACAAGCAACACAUCUCAAGAGUUGAGUUGAUUUUUUUGGAAAUCGAUUGUUUAACUCACAAUAAACUUGAUCAAUCACAACAUUGAAAAUUCCACGAUGAAAAUGAUGGUAGUAAUUCACUAAUUUAGCACCACGACAUCUCGAACGACCUUUAACUGAUAUCGUAUCUUCCAUAUUAGGAAUGUCUAUGUUGUUGAGGAGGCAAAACUCCUUUACCUCUUCAAAAAGAGCAUCCCAACCAUUUUCCCUCAUUUCAUUCAUAUUUCUCAUCACAGAGCCAAUUAAUCCUAUUGCACGAACAAUGUUUUGAUUUUUUUUUUUGCAAACAUUAUGGCAGAUCUCGAGUCAUCCCCAAUACUCUGAUAAUAAGAUGUAAUAUGAACACAAAUUCAAUGACUCCAUUCUUUGAAUUAAUCCAGAGGCUAUAGUUUUCUUUCUUUUCCCUAUCAGUUCCAUCUUCACUAAUAUUCUCUAACACCUCCGGUACAGAGGACCACAUGAUCAUAAGACGUGCCAAUGUUUUGUGAUGUGUACCUCACCGUGUAUCACCAGGCCUAGCAAGAUUAGUUUCUUAAUUUUUCCCUCUCCCGAAAAAAUAGCACCACUAACUGCUCAACAAUCUUAUCAUGGUGACUUUGAAGGAGUUGAUCUUUUCUCUUGCAAGAAGUAGUAACAACAUUGACAAUUGAAGUGACAUAAUUGAAGAAAUCAAAAGUGAACCACAAUACUUGGCUACCGAAACUACCACAAGCUGCAAUUGAUGAGCAAAACAGUGGAUGUAAAAGGCAUAUGGGUUUUCAUUCAAUACCAGUCUUUGUAACUCAUGAAACUGUCCUCUCAUAUUUGAAGCUCCAUCAUAUCCUUGCCCUCUAAUCUUGGAAAUAGAUAGACCAUAUCUUCUAAGCAUAGUAUCCAAUGCUUCUUUUAAGUGAAGGUGAUGUGGUGUCAGAAAAAUGUUCAAUGCUAAGAAACCUCUCAAUCACACUUCCUUUAUCAUUGACAAACCUAUAAGAGAAAAGAGAAAAUAGUGUUAUUUGAAAGCAACAAAACAAAGUCAACGAAAUAACCAAAUGGAGAGGAGAUAUAUACCUCACAACUACAGGUAUUUGUUCCUUAAUAGAUGCAUCACGAGCCUCAUCAACAAGAACUGCAAACCAACGAUCUCCUAUUUCACUUUUAAUUAACGCACUUGUCUCAUCUGCACAAGCCCUAACCAAAUCUUUCUGAACCAUUGGACUACUCAUUUGAUUAUUCCUUGGAGCAUUUUCACUAGUCACAAGUGCAACCUUAUGAUCCUUCUUUCUGUACCAUUCAAGCAUCUCCAUAAAGUUCCAUUUAUUUCUUAAUAUUUUAGACUCAUCAUGUCCACGAAAGGCUAGAGCUUGGAGAAAUCUAGCAAUGCCUAACAUGAUAGUUAAACGAGCUUUAUAUGCCUCCUCUUCUGUUGCACUUGUAAUAGUCCACACAUGUUGAACGCUUUGCCUCUGAUUUUUGAAUUAAGUGCACGCUUUCUUACAUUACUAUGAAAGCCAUCAAUUGAUUGAGCAUGCUCCUUGAAAUAAUCUUUUGCAUUCUUCCAAUUUCUAAACCCAACUUUGGUGAAUGUAUCAUUACUAUGAAACCCAGUUUGUUGUGGCUUAAGAGAGAGCAAUAAAAGCAAUAAGUUGCAUCCUUGGCUACACUGUACUCUAACCAAUCAAAUUGAUCCAACCAUGAUCCAACAAAUCCUCUUGAUUAGCCUUUACCAUCUUUUUCGUUUUUGAACUUAUGACCAGCUAGCCUAUAUGGACCUAUUUGUAGAUAUGCUCCUCUAGCCUCAUCCCUAAUGUCAUGAUGAAAAUCAUCAAUUGGCUUCCUGUCUCCUGGAUCAGCAACUAUAUCUCUCGUAUCAAGUUCAAUCUUUGGUCUUUUUUCUCAACCCGGCUCUCUAUAGUUUCGGCACUACUCUUUGACACAUCUUUUUUAGCAUAGUAUCUCUCCAUUCUAAGAUAUGAAAUGUUGCAAUUGCAAAGUAAGACUCAAAUACUCAAUGAAGUAAUGAAUAUUGCAAAGUAAUGAAUUCUCUCCAUAGUAUCUCACCUACAUGUGCCUGUACUGUUGGCCAUUGCCUGCCCUCAGCGGCUCAGCCACUAGCACGCCGUCGCAGUGCCGCUCAGCCAGCGGGGGCGUGGGCGCGCGGCCGGCGGGGCUGGGGGGGGUGAGGGCAAUCGGCGAGGCGACGACCUGGCGGGGGCGCGGGGCCGUGAGGGCGGGGGUGAAGGCGAGUGUGGACGGGUAGUGCAGGAGGAGGUGCGGCAUGACGAGUGCGGACGGGAGGCGCGCGGCCAGCCAACCAAGGCUAAGGUUCCAGCCUGCUGGCUCACUUUGCGUCGAGGUGAGCUAAUGGGCUGCCUGACCUUUUUAUACUAUUUUUAUGAAACUUGUUCCCAGUCUUCUCGAGACUCACCCCGGGCUGCAGCCCGAGGCCCAAAUCCACCCCUGCCGGUCUGUGACGCCACUAUCUCCUGGUUGGGGUGAUGUAAAGGAGGUACCGAAGCCCAGGACCGAGGGGGAAGAAGAGGCAUGCCACAGCUUCAAAUUUUCAAACUGAAAAUGCGGGAUGGGCAAUGAGAGUUGUGUACUGGAAACAAAGCAACCUAACCUGCCUUUCUUCCCAUACAUGCAAACUGUUGCAAAGUCGCAAAUGCACAGAGUGACGCAGAUGGAAAAAAAAAAAAAGGUAACAAGCAGAAACAGAAAUGAUUCGAUCACACGCGAAGCCGCGCCGUGUGUAGCAAACACCGCAAAAGGGAACAUGGGCCCGAUUCGAGGCCGGUCCACGCUCCAUUGGCCCUCCGCCCUCCUCCUUCCCCCAAGCCAAACUCAAAACGACAGCCCGGCAAUGCCCAUUUUCAAGUGGGACCCACGUCUGACAUCCGAGCACGCCCACGAAGGCACGACCAGUGGCGAGGCGACUGGCGAGGCGUCGUCGGAGCGGACACCCUUGAAUUCCCCCGCCUCCGACUCGCCUCGCUCGCCCCUUUCGUCCUCCGGGUCCGGGGUGGUCGGCCUCUCCGUCGCAAGAGGCUGUCGCCGGCACACGAUGGCGGCGGCUCCGGCUCCCCCAGCGGUCGCGGCGUCCAGAGCGGCGCGGGUGGGGCUGCUGUACGACGAGCGGAUGUGCGCGCACGCGACGCCCGACGGGGAGGAGCACCCGGAGAACCCCGAGCGGCUGCGCGCCAUCUGGCGGAAGCUCAGCGCCGAGGGCGUCGCGUCCAGGUACGGCGCCAGUGGCCGCUCGCCCCGCUCCCUUGUCUUUUGUUAGAGUUGAAGAGCGGCGUGGUUUCGGUGGGGAUCGGUGAGGCGCGCGCGGGGUUUUGCUGAAUUCCCUGGGACGAGAGCCUCGGCGUCCGCGUGCCUCUGUGUUUUACUCACUUCGCUCGUUCUGCUGUUGUUGACUUGUUGUGCCGUACAGCCGUGCCCAUCCGAUCUGAUGACUGACCUUCUAGUUAUUUUUGUAAAUUAGCUCAGGAAGUGUUGGGGUUCAUGAUUUUUUCCCCUAGGCUUAGGCCUUGAAAUCCGAAAUGUCACUAUGCGAAAAAAAAAUUGCAAAGCAAAUUAACUUGUUGGGACAUUUAGUAGUUCAAACACCGCAUCCACUCCUUGCCAGAAAUCGAUGCUUCAAUUAUACUCUUACAAAUGUAAAUCAUGAACUUCGAUGCGAGUAAGGUUAACCUUGAACACCAGCAUUGCAGCUUAUGUGCUGUUGAUCUGGUUCAUUGUUCUGCUUAGCGAGUUAGCGUGCUGCUUUUACUCUUAUUGAGGAUGACGGUGGGGUUCUGCGAUGCUAUUUAAACAUAAUUCUCUUCCAGGUGUGUGGUCCUUAAGGCGAAGGAAGCUGAGGACAAGUAUAUAGCUUCUGUUCACAGCCAGAACCAUAUAAAGCUGAUGAAGGAAAUUAGCUCGAAGAAAUAUGAUUCCAGCAGAAACAAGAUUGCCAGGAAAUACAAUUCCAUUUACUUCAACAAGGGUUCCUCAGAGUCUGCUGUUCUUGCAGCUGGUUCUGUCAUAGAGGUAAUUUUCAUCUUCGUUUCAUUCACUGCAUAAGCACGUUUUCUACUUUUCUGUAGCUAUUAUGUCCCAUCUUAUCGGGGGGAAAUCACUGAAAAGUGGAUUCUUUGGCAUUUAGGUUGCUGAGAAAGUUGCUGCUGGUGAGUUAAGUUCUGCUAUUGCCCUAGUCAGACCUCCAGGCCACCAUGCAGAACAUGAUGAGGCAAUGGGAUUUUGCCUCUUCAACAAUGUGGCAGUUGCAGCUAAUUAUCUCUUAAAUGAGAGGGUAGGUGUUGAAACUUUUGUGCUGUUUUUUUUGUGGGGUUUACAUCAAAAGGUGCUACCGAUGUUUAUCACUUUCUACAAAGAAGCAAGCGCUAUACUUUGUUUUAAUACGAUCAAAUAAGGUGUUUUGUUCACUUACAAACUUUGCUCUUUCUGUUGCAGCCUGAUUUGGGUAUCAAGAAGAUACUGAUUGUCGAUUGGGAUGUUCACCAUGGAAAUGGAACACAGAAAAUGUUUUACAAUGAUCCUCGUGUAUUGUUCUUUUCAGUUCACAGGUUUGACAAGACACCUUGACAUUGCUUUGCUAGUUUUGUUUAAACUUCAUAGUAGAAUCACUACUAUUGCAAUAUGAUGUUAGCAAAGUUAUAGCAGUUGUUUUAUCUUUUGUUUUGAGAGUUAUUGGUCUUGGAAGAGCCAUGGUAUCGACAUCCCGGUUUCCUUUCCAUGCAAACACUGGAUACUUGCUGUUAAUAGAGAAACUUGAGACCUCAAAUGAUUAUCUGCGUGGUAUCAACAAAGUUGUUUGAGGUUGAGCGCUGGCUGUAUUUUGAUGCUGUUUGAUUAUAUGCCGUGAUCAAGUGUGGUUUGCGCUUGCAUUCCACAAAUUCACCUUGUUCAUUACUUGUCCUUUACAGCAUGAAAAAUAUGAAAUCAUAUCAUUGUAUCACUCCAAGAGUUGGUUGAUGGCAUGCUUCUCGCAUAAUCGCUUAAGUGCCAGUUUUACAGUAUCAAAAUUCUUCACCUCUAAUUCGUUUGUACAACGUAUUGUGCCAUGGAACUCACUGACCAAACACUUUGCCAUCAUGUGCACAACUGUAGUGAUAGAAACUGAGCCCAGCUCAGUUGGUGGGAGGUGCAGUGUACACUCUCAAUCUUACCACCUAGGUUGCGUCCCUUUCUGCUCAAAUUUGGUGCCUAUUUUCUUAGUAAAAAGAUCACCUGUCACAUAUUUGGCGCUAUCCCGUUUUGUGCACACUAAAUCUAAGGUAAUGUUGAAUAGCAUUAAGUGCCCAUUCCCAUCACUAUAGUACGAGUAGCUAUCCAAAUUGUUGCCCUCUAACCCUUGAUUAUUUUAGAUGUGAUAACCAAUUCAUUGCAUUUGUCUUUGGUACUUGUGGCGACCUAUUGUUCUAUUAACUAGCUUAAGAUGGAUUCACAGAUUGUAACCUGUGAUAUGUGGCUAAGACGCCUCCUUGAAAUAUCCAACCAAUUCAUUGAUAUGACAAACUUAUAAAUUUAGUAUGUAAUUGCUAUUUGCAUGCUUAUAUAAGAUAGACUUCUUUUUAGCUCACUGUAGUGUUAUUGUGGUUGAUUUUCAAUACACAGCCCUUUUUCUUUUGGUUCUUUGAAAAUUGGAACACGUCCAUUGUUGCAAUCAACAUAAUAAUCAAUUGAAUCUUGGAUCAUAAGCUAUUCAUUUUAAUGCAUGUUUGUUGCCAGCUUAAUGAAGCCAUAAUCAAAUAUUUAUUGUUCGAAUGUUUGUUCUAUAGAUUUGAUUAUGGAAGCUUCUAUCCUGCUGAAGGGGAUGCUUCUCACUGUUUCAUCGGAGAAGAAGCUGGUAAAGGGUAUAACAUUAAUGUUCCCUGGGAGCAUGGGAAGUGUGGUGAUGCUGAUUAUAUUGCUGCAUGGGACCAUGUAUUGCUUCCUGUCACUGAAGCUUUUGAUCCUGAUAUAAUAUUGGUAUCGGCUGGGUUCGAUGCAGGUAUAUAGAUGAAAAAUUCUUUUAUUCUCUUAACUUAAUAACAACUCGUUAUUUUAAGCAUUUAUAUAAACCAAGGCAACAAUGUACUAACAACCAACAAGUUGUAGUUUCUUAACUGAGCACACACUAGUCCAACUUAUCUUUGUAAUUACGUUGUUGCAUAAGAAGUGAGAUUUCUGCUGAGGAAUCUAUAAAUCUCGGGAACCUUUUCUUGUGGUAUUGAAUUCUGGAUACACGAUAUUAAAAUAUAUUCUUUUGGUGCAUCUAUGUGGUAGAUCAUGUCUGUUCUUAUCAUUCAUUGGAUUUGAAAUUCUACUCUAUUUGUUUUUCAUGGUUAGCACUGGGUGAUCCUCUCGGUGGUUGCUGCAUCACACCAAAUGGAUAUGCCCUGCUACUAACAAAGGUACACAGUUGCAGAAAAAUAACAGCUUUUAAUCAGAUUUCACCACAUCAUGCACUUCACUGUCCUUAAAGAAGUCAAUAGUCUUGCUUGAACUUUCAAAAAAGUUGGGAUGAACUGGAAUAGUUUAGAUGGAUCAAAGUUGUCUAAAGCUCUAAUGUGGCAUCUUCAAUGCCUGUUAGAAGAUUUUCAUUUAAUCCCUUCCAUCUGUCUAGUGUUUCUUCUAUACAUCUUGAGCUUUCCACUGUGCUGAUCAACACUUGCGCCUAUCAUGCAAAGCCCAUACAAGAACCUUCUAAAAACCCAUUGCCUGCUCUUACUACUUAUAUGCCAAAUCCUGCAGCUAUUAGGAUUUGCUAAAGGAAGGAUAGUGAUGGCCCUUGAAGGAGGUUAUAACCUUAGGUCCAUAGCAAAUUCAGUUUCUGCUUGUGCAAAAGUUCUCUUGGGAGACAAAUUCACGUUCAGCUCUCCAGAGAUGCAGCCAUUUGAAUCUACAUGGAGAGUUAUACAAGCGGUAAUGAUGUGGAUGCACUAUUCUGUCUGGCUCUUUACUUCAUGUGGACAUCUAUAGUCAUGCUUUGUCUUUUGAACUCCAUAUUGACUAGGUACGCAAUGAAUUGAAAACAUGCUGGCCUGUUUUGAGUAGCAAGCUGCCAGAGAAUUUAUCAUUGAGGAUUAAGCCUUCACCAAGUGAGGUAUAUUUUCCUUUUCUAGAGAUAUGUUGUCAAAAUAGUUCCAGCUUUUACUCCCAUUGCCAGGUCAGAAUUUUCAGUUCAGUGUUUAAUACAGUAGCAUAGUGUAGUUCAAUUAAUUCAAAAGGUGAACGCAUGAACAUGAAUUGUGCCAAUUGCGUUAAGAAGCUCAGUUCAUAAGCAAUUACAUGUUAUAAUUUUUUAGAACAAUGAACAUUAGGAAAAGAGAUUUCUGUAUCAUCCAAUAGAUGAUUGUGAAUUUCCUGUGUAAUGGUGAUAAAUGUGUGAUUGUGAAAGCCCUCUGUCUAAUGCUGACACCGUGAGCCCAAACUCACAUGCCACACCAUUGAAAAUGCUGAGAAAUGCUUUCAGCCUUCAUGUGUAUUGCUAUAUCCUAACUCCUGAGUGCCUUGCUUAUGGAAAACAUACGUGAGUUAUAUAGCUCAACUUUGUUGAUUUUUAUCUACAACUAUCUUGUAUUACAUUUGAUUUAUCAUUUAUGUGGCAUGUUGCAUUGAGACUUCCUGACAGUUGAGAUAAAAAUCAUAGAGACACAUUAAUCCAGUAGUCAGCCUUGAAUAAUUUUCCUUUCAUGUUUCCUUAUGGCAAUGAACAGCUCUACGCUUCCUCUGAUUCUGAGCCUGACAGUGAAGAUGUUGAUGAGCUCUCUGGUGCUGUUUCAUCAGUCAAUGUUAUUCAAUUUGCUGAUGAUGCUAUAAGUGAACACCUCUCAAAAAUGAAACUUGAUGAAGACAACCUUGCAGUGAAGACUGCCUCAAGUUGCUCAACAGCAGAACAUCAUCCAACUGAUUCAGUACAAGUAGAUAAAGGUGUAUCUGUGGUACUGUCCAAAAGAAUAUCUGAUUUAUCUCUUGCUUGGCGAUCAGAUUUAUCAAGAAUUUAUGUCUGGUAUGCCAGCUUUGGUUCAAACAUGUGGAAGCCAAGGUUUCUAUGCUAUAUUCAAGGGGGGAAGGUAAAGUUCAAAACUCAAUGUUUUUGCAAGGACCAACGAGCAUUGGUUCCUUUGAUCAGUGUGUUCUACUUGUUAGAUGUCACUGCCGUUGUGACCUCCAUGAUUCUCUUGGGAUAUAUAAAUAUAUUCCAGUACUUGAGUAAUGUCACUGAAGGGCGGACCUGGUGCAGUGGUAAAACUCUCCACUUAUGGCCCGGAGGUCCUGAGUUUGAACCAGCCUCUUUGCAGAAUUUUAAAAGAAUUUUGCAAGGGUAAGGCUGUCUAGGAAUUCCCUUCCCCAGAACCCACCUUGUGUGGGAGCUUUCGCACUGGGUACGCCCUUUUUGAAGGGCGGACCUAGCGCAGUGAUAAAACUCUCCACUUGUGGCCCAGAGGUCCUGGGUUCGAACUAGCCUCUUUGCAGAAUUUUAAAAGAAUUUUGCAAGGGUAGGCCGUCUAGGAAUUCCUUUUCCCAGACCCCACCUUGUGUGGGAGCUUUCGCACUGGGUACGCCCUUUUUUUAUUACUUGAGUAAUGUCACUGCCGUUGUGACCUCCAUGAUCUUUUUAUAUUAUAAGCAGUAUGCUUUGAAAGAUAAAUUUCUAUUUUGUUUUGCCUGUGACAGGUUGAGGGUAUGAGUAUACCAUGUUGCGGAUCACGUGACACGAGCUCACCAAAAGGAAUCAUGUGGAAGAUUGUGCCUCAUAGGUUGCUUUUCGGUAGAUCCUCUACCCCUUGUUGGGGUACUGGUGGUGUUGCUUUCCUCAACCCUGAGAUAAACUACAAUGAGAAGUCUUAUGUCUGCAUGUACAAAAUAACGUAUGUAUGCCACAUUUACAUGCUACUCCCUCCGUCCCAAAUUACUAUUCGUUUUGACUUUUGUAGGUACAUAACUUUUGUUAUGCACCUAGAUAUAUAUUAUGUCUAGAUACAUAGCAAAAGUUAUGCAUCUGGAAAAGCCAAAACGAAUAGUAAUUUGGGACGGAGGGAGUAUUUAUCUUUGAGUUCAGGCAGGGUGGCAUUCUGUUAACACUCCACGUCUCAUCUAAUUUGCCCCUCUUCAACAGGCUGGAGCAGUUCAAUGAUAUCUUGUUUCAAGAGAAUCGUCUAGUGCUGGAGGAUGGGACAGAUGGAAAUGUUGUGUAUCCUGACUCUCCUUUGAUUGGUUCAUCUGAAGUGGAGUUUAUGUCUACAAAUAAAGCUAUUCAUCUUGAACCUAUCAAGGUUUGUUUUGCCUGUCACAGUUCGAUAAUUGUACCCUUCCCUUUGUAUACAAUUUUUAUGUUGCUAAAUGAGAUUAAAUAACAUUGCACUGUUGAACACGUCACUCCUAAACAUAUGUCAGUCUGGCUGCUGUUCCAGGAGCUUAUUGAUAGAUGACAAGUUCUUUUCCCAUAGCGACAUAGGUCACUUUUACCUUGAUGGUUUCCUUGAAAAUUUAUGCUGAUGUUUGUAUGAACUUUUAAUCUUAAUCUGUUUAGCAAGGAGCCAUAAACAGCCUCUUUGGGUUAUUCAAGUUCAUCUUAGCUUAGCAAUGCUUUCUUAAGCUAAUUUGAAUCUCUGUUGACAUCGUAAACGAUGUUUAAAAGAAAGUCUGAUUUUAAUAAGAUAAAGCUAAAAAUAUAAAACUAAGUACCAGUUUCACCUCAUCAAUAGACAAAUUCCAUACCUUCCUUACGAGCAUAAUUCUGACACCAUAUUAUUUCUGUUCCAUUAUCUACGUGUCAUGCUGAGUUUCAAAAAGUUCUGUAACAUAGCUAAUGUUCGAUAGAUGAAUUUCUUGCAGGAUAGCUGGUACUCCAAUGUACUUUAUCUUGGGGACGAGGAUGAACUUCCAAUUCUUACUAUGACGUGAGUUUCAUUGUACCCAUUAUUAAGUCUUGCCCCAAUUUGUCACUUGGGGAUGACAGUUCAAUGCAACCUUUUUAAGGGCAGUCAGAAUGUGUUAUGCUCGCAAUGUGAUGCUUAAUUAACUUUCCUCCGGUCUCUGCAGGUGCCCCUCAUCAGAUAUUGAGCGGUACAAAUCUGGUGAGCUACCUCUAGCACCUCCGUCAAAGACCUACGCCGCCACUCUGAUAAAGGGACUAGUGGAAGGGGAGCAACUGGAUGCUGACGGAGCUGCCAGCUACAUCAAUGCUGCUGCUGCAAGAGGGUUGUGAUUUGUGAAGGCUGCUUCAACGUGUGCUUGUACAGCCGGUAGGGAGUAGUAAGGAUAAUAUAUUUUGCUAGCGUGUGAUGACAUCGAUUUAGGACCAGGAGUGAUGUCCAGGCUUCAUUCUCCGCGAAUGGAGAUUCUGAAUCCCCUUUUUUUUUUUAAUACGCAGGAGAGCUGCGUAUCUCUGUAUUAAGAAGAAAUUGUUCGUUACGACACGGGCUAAACCGGGCACGUGCACACGGACACAUUACACCUAAGGUGUUUACAACCUGAAGAGAAAAAACACGCACACACUAGCUAGCUAAUGUUGUACAUGAUCCUGAGCCUAGGCCAACCGUUGCUGUCGCCGGUCAGCCCAGAGCUGUAGGAUGCGUCAAGUAGACUAAAGUCCCCGGCGAUCAUCCAGGUGCAACCAAUGGAGGUUUGGAUUGAACGCAGCUCGUCAAAGAACUCGAUCUUGUCGACAUCAGCCUCGCGGAGAUUGUCGUGACGACAUCGCACAUUCAAUCCGCGAGUAUUCCGCACGAGGAUAUUGUAGUUUUGCUGAUCCAUGAAGAAUGGCGACCAAGUGGCAGCGCCCGGCUGAUCAACAGACGCUGAUCGCCCCGCUCAGCUGAACGGCUACCGCCCUCAGAUCAUCAUCUGAAAGCGCCUGAGCAGCGGGGAAGAUGCCCCUGAUGGCGCAGAAGUACUUUGCGUCCAGUGGCCUUUGGAAGAUCGAAGCCAACUGAGGGUGAGGCUGGUCUGGCACAGGUCCAUCAGUGGAGCAAAGGCCAAGCUUGCGCAUGACGAGCACCUCACCCUUCUUGGAUGCACGAACCGUGGAGUUCAGAGUUUGCUUGGCCAAUCUUCCGCUACGGCGAGGUCUGGACUGAGUUGGUGUGGCCGGUACCGACAUUGCCAUGGCAGCGCCUCCCCUGGCUGGCAUGCUCGCCAGGGGCACCUGGAGUGCUUGACUGACACUGGCGAGGAAGGCUGCCGUCGCGGCCUUGGCCUCCUCCAGGCUUGGGCUGGGCUAUGUCUUGGUACGCUUCCGCGGCGUGGGGUCGAUGUCGGGCCGUCUAGAUUUUGGGCCGGUUCCUCUGCUUGACUGGGCUUCGUUUCCCUGAACCACGCGUGGCUCGGGAUCGAGAGAUCCUCCCGGCUCUGUCGGCUCAGCGGUCGGCUCGCAAGGCGGCUGAGCCUCGCCCGAUGGAUCCAGCUCCUGGUCCUCGGCUGACUCCGUCGUCGGCUCGCAGGCUUGCUCAAAGCUGAGCAAGGUUGGUGGUGGCAGGGCGGCCUUGUCACGGGCCGCAGCGCUGCGCACCCUGCGCCGGUACGACUUGAUAGCUGGCGAAGGCGUCAGCUGGUGUGGGGCGGCGCUGCCUCCCUCCGGGCGGGUCCCCGAGGGCAUCAACUUUGGGGUUGGUGCGAUGGAUUCAAACAGCAUCGGAUCCCCAGAGGCACCCCCGUGGCAGUCGCGGACGGGGCACUGUUCCUCGAAGGCCACCAACUCCGGGAACGACAGCACGGGUGCUUCCCCCUUGUUGUCGGCUUCCGCUUCUGGAAAGUGGCCGCUGUGCCGUCCCGCAGCGCUGCGUCGUCCUGCGCCGGCGAGGAGGUGGGCGGCGGCGCCUGGGCGAGCAGCAGGAGAGCCGGGGCCUCCUCCGGCUGAGGCGCCCACGAUCUCCUGGUGACGUUGCCACCGCCGCUCUGUCGUCCAUCAACCCCAUCAGGCACGCCUCGGGAGCAGUGGAACCCGUGGAGCCGUGGCCCGCCGUCUCCAUGGGACUCCCCAUACCCAUGGGCCGGGUUUCCAUCGUGGCCGGAGUCGCCGUCGCUGGAUGGCAGCGACGGGCCUGGUGACGGGGGAAGGCGACCUCGAGGAGAAAUCAGCGAUGCUCCGCAGGUGGAUCAGGACCUCAUACUUGAGGAAUUUCUUCUGGCGUAGGUAGGGGGGAAGAUUGCCGAAGAUACGCUGUAUGUCCGGAUCGUCGUGUACGACCGGGAGCUCGUGCUCUGCGAUGAACACCGUCUUCCUCUUUGGGAUUCUGUUCUCUGAGUCGCGUCCCGUCGAAAAAGGAAAAAAAACGAAAUGAUACCCAAAAAAAUAUGUUGUUUUUGGAGACAUAAAAAAAGAAAAAAUUGUUGGAAGAUAAACAAUAAAAUAAAAUGCGCUAGAAGGAGGGCUCGAACCUCCGACCUUAUGGUUAACAGCCAUACGCUCUAACCAACUGAGCUAUUCCAGCUUUUUGUUUCAUGGCAGUUUAAUAAAAUAAUUAUAUAAAUAAUAAUUCCUGACUUUGAAAACAGAAAAACUGCAAUAUGUUGCUGACCCCCAAACAGCAUAUCUGGAGCAGGGGUGCUGUUGUGGAAGGCCUCGCCGUCUCUAUGCUUGGGUCCACUGCACGAUGGUGCACGAGUGAAUCUGUCCUGAGCUAAGACCAAAUCAACCAACCUUGUACAGGCGUCAGCCAGAGGACCGGAGGAGAUUGUAGUGGCACUGGGAGCAGAGGAAGGGAAGAAGUUUCAGACUUUCCAGAUGAGCAGAUGCCACUACAGUGUGAGCUGAGUUGAGCCUCUCUGUUCCAGAUGAUGUGUGAACAAGAUGAACAGAUGCAGUUCGCGGAUGGGACCGCAGCUCUGAAGUUGGGGCUCACCUAAACCUCGAUUGCUAACACGGCAGUGCACCGUCUGUUGCGGGAAGCGGAGCACCGUCCGUCGGCCGGGCAUGGGCGAACACCUGAACCUGACGACGAAAGGAUUCCUGGACCUGAACGAACACCUGCCAUGCUGACCGGAGCCCUCGGGUCCCGGCCACCGGCUCUUUCUGGGCGCGGCAUGUACAGCAACACGCCUCGGGUAGAGACCACGUGUAGCUGCCGCCCUCCGAUCUUUGCCGGCGUCCAAGCGCUCGUACCUGCCGGUGGCGGCGUCCAACAUCUGAUUGAAUCGAUGAGACGAUGACCACGAUCCCCAACCCGAAUGCUCCUGGCGAGCAACUCCCGCGACGACAACCGAGCCCACGGCCCUCAGCGUGAGCAACCCUCACCUCAGGUCGCGCCGCCGGUGGCGCUCUCAGACGGUGGCCAAGCAAGUGAGAAGCCCUCCUCUCCCUCUACCACGCCGGAGCUGGCGGAGCACCGCGCCACGGCCUCCGGCGCCCGACCCUGUUUCUGACGAAGCAGAGCGCACGACGGCUCCGUCCGCGAUUCAGUUAAUCUGGACCGCCCACGUCGCAUCGGACGGCAGCUAGGCACUCAGGGGGUGGAUGGUAUUUCAGAUACCGUCCACCCCCCGGACGGCGACCUGCUCUGCUUCUCUUGCUCAGACGGCGAGCCACCGAGCCGCGGCGUCCUGCGUCCGAGCUUGGCGACCUGAACCGCCAGCAAUUGAGCACGAAAAAUCACGACUGCGUCGAUGCGACAGUAAGGGCCGGCUAAGGACAAUUCCACCGAAAAAAUUGGCACCAUGUUCUGACUGCUGAGUUGCAAUCACGCAGCUGCAAGACGAAAAAAUCUAUCUACUCCUCUCAAGAGCAAUUGAGAAAGAUCGGAAUGUCGAAGCUUUCCUGGAACCUUUGGGAUUGUCGCUGCUUCAACAAUCCGAUGGCCUAGGAGGAGCAUAACAAUUACCCCCAUGUCAGAAUGGCGCGGAAAUCACGCCGUGGAGAAGUAUACCUGCAGAUUAAAGAGACGCGCAAGCGCAAACACAAGAUCCUGCACGGCUGCACAAACAGAGUCUGCAGCCAGAUCGCUACAGGCGAAGCACGUGCCGGCCAGUGACCGCGGCGAACAUCUGAUCCCAAAUUCUAAUCACCAGUGUGUUUGCAGACGCUCAGCCUGCCACUGCUCCGGCGAGGAACAUGAGCUCCAAACCUCGCUACAGGAACUCAAGAAGCCAGUCAGGUUGAAGUAACGAACCUCAGGUCACGCCGCGGUGUAGAUCUCGACGGCGAGCAAGCUAGUGAGCAGCCCUCCGCUCUCUCUCUGCUUCGCCGGAGCCGGCGGAGCACCGCGUCACGGCCUCCGGCGCCCGACCUGUGUCCCUGUCCCUGUUUCUGAUGAAGCAGAGCGCACGCCGCCUCCUUCCGCGAUUCAGUCAUUGUGGGCCGCACAGGCCGCAUCGGACGGCUGGUACGCACCGAGGGGGUGGACUCGUCCACCCCCGAGGCCAGGGGCUGACGCAGCUAAGGGACAUGGGUGUACAGAUGUACCCCCAAUAAUUUUGGUAGAAAAAUCGCAGCUAGUCUAGUCAGUCUACAUAUAUACAGGUGCAUGCUGUUUAUUUGGUCAAGUUGCUCUGUAUUUGAGUGAAGGAUUCAAGGGUAAUGGUUGACAACAAUAAUGACUAAUUUCCACUGGGUUAACCCUCGAGUGUUCGGAGUCGGUUCCGAACACCGAGCUUUUAUUUUUUUACUCUUUACUGAGGAAUGAUGCUUAAAGAAGAACUAAGUUAGGACCUCUUGACCAGACUCAACGAAGCAGGCGCCUCGAGGCUAGGCGUUCAUCUCGGAUCGCGGAUGAAACCUCGAGGCUGGACGAGAAACGUGACCACGCGGAAAAGUUCAAUUUGUACGGUGUUUCUUAACGAUUUUUAUGCUAGCAUAUCCUAGGAUACAGUGGUUGAGAGAGGAUAUUUUCAGAAUGUAAAGUAGGUCGUGGAUCAUUAUAAAAGGGAGCCCUACCACAUUGUAAAAGAACAACACGUUUUCAAUUGUUUUCAAUUGAAAGGUGUAACCCUAAAUCUGUUGUGCUGAAAUUGUUUGACACUGUCCAUCAACAACCUUUUAGUUUUGGGUCGGCCUUUUAUUUUCCCGUUGUCAUCUGGCCCAAUGCAAGUAAGAACAAUGACCAGUGAAGAGACGUUCACCAUUCUUCUCGACUCUGUGUCCAUGCCGUCCACAGGUGUGAGAGGGCACAAGGCCACGCGGACCAUGGCAGCUUAGUUUGGGCGAGCGGCGACAUGGAGGGAGAUGGAUGAGCCUCUGCUCACAGCGCUAUUCUUCAUUUCACCACCACAAAAAUGUUUGUGCGAACUUUAAUUAAUCAUUCUGGUUCUUUUGGCUUUAAUUUGUGUAUAUGAUGCAUAUGCUACGUAGUUGGUGGCAAUUGGCCAGCGGCAAAGAAAAUUUGUCUAGUUUUAGUACCUCAGUCAACUAAAGCAAGGUUAGUACAAUGACGUAUCAGUAUAAUAGAACCGAUGUUUUCUUUUAUAAAAAAAACUACCACCUCCAUACCAAAACUACAAACCGGACAAAUCAAAUUUCAAAGCGAUUUUAAUUUUCUUCUGCUGCUUUCUUAGUUUUCCUUUAGAUUAGAACGAUUCUUCAGCGACGGUGGCCCACUGGAGAACAAACAGCUGCUAGCAAGGAGGCAGGGCAUGGCAGAAAUGGCCGGCGAUGCCCAGCUCAACCGAGGUGGCUCCAGACCACCGGAGUCCGGAGUUCGACGACGCAUCAACGGGUGAAAAGGAGUGGACGACUACUCCGUUUCAGGCUUCCAGCCCUCAACUAAGCCUCUGCACCAAUGCAAAUAUUGACGACAAUGUAGGACGAGAGGACGACGGUUCCAUCACUCUGAUCAUGGCUUAGAAUAUAGAGUUGGUGCUUAACUGCUUAUAGCUUUCCUACACUACUCACAAAAAGGAUGAAGUGCUUGCAAGUUCAGUAGAUGUUGCAUAAAGAGUUGAAGCACCAAAAAUUACAAAUUGUUCAUACAUACAAAACAAUUUAUUCUCACCGGUUAAAACAACUGUAUUUACAACUUCACAACUGGAUUAGGGGUACCGUUGUUUAAGGCCUCGCCGUCUCUGUGCUUCCACAUGUUACGGACUUCCCUAACAAUGGUAGCUUCGGGCAAUCGGCCUUGCUAUCAAGGAAUCAACAGUAUGUAAGAGAUGCAACUACCAAUUUCUUUUAAAAAGAGCAUGUAACGCCAACCAGUGCGAAAAUUGAAAAAGCACCACAUAACUUGUCUGGAAACAGAACGCAAAAACUAAAGCAGCGUACGCUCUACUAUACCCUAAUAAGCUCAGACAAAGUUUUUAUUUGCUCUAUUUAUCACGGUCGAUCCGAUGCAGCUUGGAUAAACAAAGGAUCUGCAGCAACGUGCAUCAGAUGAAUCAUGAAUGGGUGCAGCACUCUCAUCUAUUCUCUGCCGCUUCCUUGUCAGCGAAGUAGCUGUCGCCCAGCAGGUCGUCUUGGCCAUUGUACUGCGGCUUGUUAGCCCCAAAUCCUGUUGCCCCGCCACCAGAAAAUCCUCCAGCACUGUUGUGGCCACUGAAGCCGACACUAGUCGCAUUUCCAGCAAAGUUACUACCACUGUUGGGACCAGCAGCAGCAGCAGCAGCAGUGAAACCUCCAUUGCUGAAACUGCCACCAAAACCACCGAAGCUUCCACCACUGGGAGCUCCACUGUUGUUAUUGCCUGCACCAUAGGUGUUUGGAGAACUGUACCCACCGGUGUUUCCACCAGGAUUGCCAGUGGUACCGUAGUUUCCUCCACUGCCGUAUCCACCACCGGAAGCACUGUUGAAGUUGCUAGCAUAACCGCCACUGGUAGCUCCAUCAUUGUAACCACUGUUGCCAGCAUAUCCUCCACCAGAAGCAUCGUUGUAGUUGCCUGCACCAUAGGUGUUUGGAGAACUGUACCCAUCGGCAUUUCCACCAGGAUUGCCAGUGGUACCGUAGCUUCCUACAUUGCCGUAUCCACCACCAGAAGCACUGUUGAAGUUGCUAGCAUAACCGCCACUGGUAGCUCCAUCAUUGUAACCACUCUUGCCAGCAUAUCCGCCACCAGAAGCAUUGUUGGAGUUGCUACCAUAGCCGCCACUGCCGCCACCAUCUCCACCGUAUCCACCGCUGUUACCACCAUACCCUCCAGAACUAUAUCCACCACUGUUACCACCAUAUCCCCCAGAAUUAUAUCCACCGCCACCGCCAUACCCACCAGUAGCAUAUCCACCUCCACCACCAUAAGCACCACCGGAGCCAAAUCCACCACCUCCACGUAUUCCACCAGCACGGUCAUUGGCAUGGUUCACCUUUACAGGUCGGCCUUGAAGUUCCUGUAUGAGAUGAAAUAGUUUCAAUGCUUUGCAAACAAGCAAACUAUUUAUGUUCCAGGAAACAGCAUGCUUAUUAGAUACAAGUAUCAACAACGUGAGACUCAAAUAACUUUUCAAUUCACUUGCCAUGUGAAAAUGAUAAAAUUUAUUCUUUUAAAAAUUCCAGAGUAAUAAGGGCCUGUUUCAGGAGAGCUCCAACUUCUGUAUUCUUGCAGGAUCUGGAGUUUGUAGGAUAAAACCAAGAUGGUCUAAGACUUUGUUUUUAGUCUAAAAUGGAAACAAGACAGCUCGCACAAAAACCCUCUAGUCUUGACCCAACUCCAGCUCCAAGAAUUACAGGCCCAGUUAUUUUUAAGCUAAGCUAAAACUCCUAGGCACGAAUCAACCCAGUGUAAAUUUAAUUGUUUACAGGAGUCAUUUAUCACAUACACUGCUCUGAUCUACUCUUUCGGUGCUUACGAAUAUACCAACUGGAUUGUUGCAUCAGAAACUAAAGAUAAACAAAAAAUCAUUGCAAUAAUACAUACGCCAAAACUCUGCAAAAGGGGCUGCAAUACUCUAACCCAAGAAUAUUUUGGUCAAAACCAUCGCUUGUAUGUAUGGUACCAUAUCAAUCCAUGCAGUGAACUACUGAAAAGAAACCACAGUCCAACAUUGAGCCCAGCUAAAAAUCAACGGUUAGCAGUUGCUUGUUUCUAUUGGAGUUUUAGUCCGCAUGAAGUGGAGAUAAACUGAACAAAGAGAUGGGACUUAAGAGUUAAUAAAAUGUAACGAGAAGUAGAAAUUGGAAUUUGGAAGGUCGAUAGUGCCCGUUCUCAGAACACUAUGUCUAAGCAGUGAAAAGAACACAAUCUUGGAUGACAGGGAGCACCUUAACUACACUGCACAUUCUGACCUAAUACAACAAAUUCAAGAAAUGUACACUUGAGGUGCUAUUCCUCAAGUAAAACCAUGGAACCUAAGGGUGACCUUUGGGUUCGCCUUUGCAAAUAAAAGCGGUUCAAAGGAUAGACAAUAAAACAAUAGAUAUGAUGGCCUACCUUGCCAUCCAUGGCAGUAAUUGCAGCUGAGGCUUCUUCACUGGAUGUAUAAGUUACAAAUCCAAAUCCCCUUGACCUGCCGGAUUCCCGAUCCAUGAUGACUCGGGCUGAAUGCAAUACAAAAAUAGAGAAGUGUUAAACACACAAGGAAAAAUGCCCACAGAGAAAUGCGAGCCAAAUUAAUUGGACAAACAAACCUUCAAGUACAUCUCCAUAUUUUGAAAAUUCAUUCCUCAGAGUGGUUUCAUCUGUGGCAUAUGAAAGUCCUACAAGCAGGUUGAUUAGAAAUAGAAUUAGAUACCCAGACAGCAUAAAACAAACCCUACAUCCAGAAGGUAGAAGAGGAGAUUAAAAUCGAUCUGAACAUACCUCCAACAAAAAGCUUGGAAGAGGACAUGCAUCUUACUGCCUGAAGCAGCGGCGAGCUAGAGGGCACCGAAGUUCUCCUGAGCGCAUUUCCAAUUCUACUAGCGAAAGCCAUUGCACCAAGUCCUCGCUAGAAACCAACCGCACGCACUGAAAGAAGCACAAUCUGGCCAGUUGUCAGACACAAAACUGUAUACAGCUGCUUAUGCAAAAGAAUCGACCCGAGAAAGGAAACGAGAAGAGGGUUGAACUUGAAACUUGACAGAUUAUUGAGCCUACUCCACUCUAUACAUCUGAUUUUUUUUAAAAAAAAUAAACACCGCAAUCAUCCAUUCCCCAGGGGCCUUACGCAACUUUAACAGGAAAUAUUAAUCCAAAUUAGAUACUAGAACGGACAAUCCAGAGAAUUGCAUCCAUUCCCGAGGGGCCUUACGCAACUUUAACAGGAAAUAUUAAUCCAAAUUAGAUACUAGAACGGACAAUCCAGAGAAUUGCAUCCAUUCCCGAGGGGCCUUACGCAACUUUACCAGGAAAGAUUAAUCCAAAUUAGAUACUAGAACGAACAAUCCAGAGAAUUGCAUCCAUUCCCCAGGGGCCUUACGCAACCUUAACAGGAAAGAUGAAUCCAAAUUAGAUACUAGAACGCACAAUCAGGAGAAUUGCAGAACCAGAAAUCGAUUCGAUUUUCCUACUCAUACACCUAACGCUCCAGAUGGACAGGCAAACAUCACAAUUCAUUUCACAAAACUAAUAAGCCGGCUCCAGAGCGAGAGGCAUCCGAAGCGCACGCCUCGAAUCAAGAAAAUACCGCAGCAGAUAUGAGCGAUAGCGAUUGUCGAGGCUGCGACUCGGAAGACCGGAUCAGGAUCUCGUUACCUCCGGAGUAGAUACGCCCUUCCAGCCGCCUCAGGGGGUUGCGGUUGCGGUUGCAGAGCGGCGGCUUCCAGUCCCCCACCCUAAACCCUACCGGACGGGGAUGGCCUCCCGGUCCCGGGUUUAAGCCGUCGGGCUGGGGAAAUUCAACAGCAACUAGGGUGGGCCUGGGCCAAACGUCGUCGAUGGAUCAUGAAAGGUCGAGGAAAAUUCAGGCCCAUAAACACGAAAGAACCAGCCAGCUCAGCCCAGCGAGCAUAUUGACGGAAGGCCCAACUUUAGAGAGCUGCUGGUUUCUUUUCUUUUCCCGGAACGCAGACGCUGUCGGAACGAUUUUUUUUUUCAGUCACGUUAAGCGCGAUUAGACAGGUCCAAAUACGUGCGCCAAGGAAAAGAUACGGCGGAAGAGCAGAGAAGGUUGUGCGCACUGGUGGACUGGACUGGACGGAUAUGCUUCCGGAAAGCAAAGGCGAGGCUUUUUCCACCUCCCUCCCUCCGUUGGUGCCUGCUCACCCCCACUUUGGUGGCCUGAUCUUGUUUAUUUCAAAGAGGACAGCCGAUUCGGCCGAGAUUUUCCUCCCCCCGGACGCAGCGCGUCACGAGCAGCAAAUCUCUGGCGACCUUAUCUGGCCGUCACCACGCCAGCGACAAAGCACGCGACCUAACUCCACACCCAUCCAUGGUUCUCGAUCUCCCUUGCAAACUGUUCAGCGAAUCUUCGUCCCGUCAGGAACAGAACAGCUGAGCUCCAACGAGCUCGCAGUGGCGCCGUGGCACUGCACGGGAACGGAUCGUGAGCCCAUGGCGUGCAAGAAUGUAGGAAAUCUUUGACCUGUGCGUUUCCCCUGUCGCGCCAGGAUCCGCGGCUUCGUUUUCAACUACGACGGCGGCGACGGCGACCACGCCGAGGGAGGAGCGCAGCUAGUGGUGGCUCGCCGCGAAACGGAGCAUGGCUAAUGCUUUCGCGCACGUGGAACGGGACGAGCCCACCGCUUUCUCCGGCCUACGGCACACGACAACCUAACACGCAACCGGCGCAAAAGUUGACACGACGGCGCCCUUUUCCCCCGAUCCGGCUUCCGCCCACGGCCCAUCCCGCAUCUCCAUCUCCAUCCCCAUCCACCGGCGGCUCCCUCCCUCGCCGCCGUGCCGUGCCGGCCGUCUCGCCGUGUGCCCUCCACCCAGUCUCCUCCCGUCCCCCGGCCACGCGUGCUACGCCACUAGCUAGCCCAACCCACUACCGCGUCCGCAUGCAGCCGCCGCCGCCGCUUUGACCGCGCUCCGGCGGCACGUUGACGGCUGCCGGGGCCCCGCACCUCCGUCGCCGAUCCGUUUCUCACCGUCGCGGGCGCCCUCGCGCGACGCUGACAUCGGCGGGCCCGCCACCCGGCGCGGGGCACGGGUCGCUUUCGGAAUUCCGAACCCCCCCGCCGCGGAAAGCAACGGGUGGGAGGGGGCGCACCAGCGCGUGCCGGGAGGGGAGCGUACCCGCCUCCGGCGGAGCGAGCGGGGAGCCGCGCGAUCGGGGAUGGACGGCGGGGAUGGGUGGGUGCGUGGGGGCGGGGGGCGAGUGCGUCAAAAGCGACAGUGGAAAGCAGAGGCCGCCGAGGGUGGUGGAUGGAUGGAUGGAUGGAGCGGGGAAAAGCAAAGCGUGGGCCUUUUCGCGUCCCACACCGCCCUUUUCGCGAAAUUGCACGUCCGGCAGUGGGGUUUUGCGGCGGGGCACGUCGCGUUGCUCGUAUUUGCACGGCGAGCCUAAAAAAGGGGAUACCGGUGUUGCAACAGAAAAAGACGGAAGGAACUAUUCCUUCUUUUUGCCCCUCUUCGAGUGUGCAAAAUCGACGUGUCGGGUGACAGAAAGGUGCUGGUAUGUUUGCUCGGAUAGGGAGUGCAGGAUGCUGCUGGCACCAAUUCUCAAGCUGCCACGGGAACCUGAAUUUCUGUCUGUAUAUGGGUUGUCAUUUGGCUUGCAAUUUGCAAAGUGCUUGAGAUGCCCUUGACAUGAAGGGCGUGGCUUGUUACUCGCAAGCCCGUAACGUGCUAAUAAUAAAUUGGUUCGCAUAUAAUUACCCAACUUCAUGGUCUUUCCUAUAAAGAUAACAGGAUAUUAGUUUCGUUGUGUAGCUUAAUAAUUUUGCAACGCUUGUACCGUAUGCACGUAUUAGUAGUUAUCAAAUAGGCCUUGGUUAGUCUCUCCCGUCACUUCCUUGAAACAUUAUUUUUUUUCGAAGCGAGGAUUAUCCCCAUUUUCAAUUAUAACAACGGAAGUAACUUCUGUGAAACAUUAUGGAGUCUCUUUUUGAUAUACUUAAUGUAUUUUGGAUGGUCCCCUUCCACUACACAUACACGUGAUUAUCGAAAUUGCACAUUCAGUAUUAGUUUCUAACAUUUUCAGUGCAGCUAUAUUUCGACUUUGUCACUUUUGUUUAGCUACGAAUUCUUUUGGGUUGAACAUUAUUUUUGGGAUGAUCACAACCAUAGAAUUAUAAUUACAGAACCUAGAAUGAAUCAGCCAAUGAAUCUAUAGCACAAAUUUGUAAAUAGCACAUCAUAAUCAAUACUACGAAAACCAUACCGAUAUGAUAUGCCAUUUUAUCAGCAAUUAUAUUUGCAUUAACUACCCUAUAACCUACAAUGCUGCAUUAUUCUCUUCUUUCUUUGCCUUUUGAGCCUCGUCAGUUUCAAUUAUUUUAUAACUUAGAUGUCACGGUGUCCCACCACUGAUGUUGAAGUUGCUUAUUGGUGACACCGAUGUUGAAGUUGCUUAUUGGUUAUCACUAGGAAAAUAUGCUCGACUACCUAUUGUGAUGAUUAUCCUACUACUCAUCCGUACAUACAUAAGCUAAUUAGCCCAGUCAUUGGCUCACCAUCACUAUAUAUGUCGUUAUUAUAGUAUCGGUACAUUCCUACUCUCUCACAGUGAGCUAUUUGUCCUGCGACAUACUUUGCAGGUGGAGCGAAUGUGUUCGAACUUGAUCAAAACUAGUGUUAGUCAUCCAUCUUUAUCUAAGAAUCUCUUACGGCAAGAAUUGACAUAUCACAAUUGGCAGCUCACUUCGCACUAAGAUGCUAUCCACCUUUCCGCAAAGAUUUCCUCCUUUAGAAAUUCUAUGAAAGAUUUUUCUGCUUCUAUCCAGUAAACUCACUUUGUACUAAAGAAGAAAACAUUUAUGUCACCUGCAUCAGCCUGAAUUCAUCCCAAUGCUAUUGCAGCGCUUGCAAUUUGAGGGUAAUCAGAGGCCUUUGCCGCGAAGCACACUGUGCUCAGUGCAACCCAGCCGCUGGGUCACAUGCUCCAAAGCUUCCAAACCAAGCAACCCCCACCCCCACCUCCACCCGAGGGCGCAAAGCGCAAAACUCCACCCACCCCGAGGUCCCCGCUGCAAAUAAUCCACGCGUGCCCCUCCCUCUCGCCGCCGGCCGCCGCCGCCUCACUCUUACUACACUCCACCGCGGGCCAAGCACUCCGCCCCUCCCCCACUGCCCCGCCCCAAUGCGACGGCGGCCCCCGCCGCCGCCGCCGCCGACUCCGCCCAUGGCCGCGCAAACCCUACUACCGACGCUGCUCUUGCUGCUGCUGCUGCUGCUCGGUGACGCCACCUCGGUCUCCGGCAGCGGCGAGCGCGAGGCGUUGAUGGAGUUCAAGGCGGCCAUGACGGCCGACCCGGGAGGGCUGCUGCGCGACUGGACCCCGGAGUCCGCAGACCACUGCCGCUGGCCGGGCGUGUCGUGCGGCGCGGGUGGUGAGGUGGUCGCGCUCAACGUCUCCUCCGCGCCGGGCCGCGCGCUCGCCGGCGCGCUGUCCCCGGCCGUCGCGGCGCUGCGGGGGCUCCGCGUGCUCGCUCUCCCGUCCCACGCGCUCUCGGGACCGCUCCCACCCGCGAUCUGGUCGCUGCGCCGCCUCCGCGUGCUCGACCUCUCCGGCAACCGCCUUCAGGGCGGAAUCCCCGCGGCGCUCGCCUGCGUCGGCCUCCAGACGCUGGACCUCGCCUACAACCAGCUCAACGGCUCCGUGCCCGCGGCCCUCGGCGCGCUCCCUGGACUGCGGCGUCUGUCACUUGCCUCCAACCGCUUUGGCGGCGCCAUCCCUGACGAACUUGGUGGCGCCGGGUGCCGCAGCCUGCAGUUCCUCGACCUCUCCGGGAACCUGCUCGUCGGUGGCAUCCCCCGGAGCCUGGGCAACUGUAGCCAGCUGGAGGCGCUGUUGCUGUCCUCCAAUCUGCUGGAUGACAUUAUUCCGCCGGAGAUUGGUCGGCUCAAGAACCUGCGGGCUUUGGAUGUGUCUAGGAACAGUUUGAGUGGGCCUGUGCCAGCGGAGCUUGGUGGUUGUGUUCAGCUGUCAGUGCUUGUGUUGUCCAAUCCUUAUGCGCCUCUUGGUGGUUCGAAUUCGUCCGAUUAUGGGGAGGUCGAUGACUUUAACUACUUCCAAGGAGGGAUUCCGGAAGCUGUUGUGGCGCUGCCGAAGCUGAGGGUGCUAUGGGCGCCAAGGGCUACAUUGGAGGGAGAGUUGCCGGGCAAUUGGAGUUCUUGCCAGAGCUUGGAGAUGAUGAAUUUGGGGGAGAAUCUGUUGUCUGGUGGGAUUCCUAAGGACCUGGUGGAAUGUGAGAAUCUGAGGUUCUUCAAUUUGAGCUCGAACAAGCUUACAGGUUCAGUCGAUCCUUCACUGCCUGUGCCUUGCAUGGACGUAUUUGAUGUCAGUGGAAACCAGUUAUCUGGUGCGAUUCCAGGAUUUAUCUCAAAGAAUUGUCUUUCAUCCCAGUCCCCAUUGGAUGACUUGGUGUCAGAGUAUUCUUCCUUCUUCACAUAUCAAGCGCUUGCUGGCUUUGUGUCAUCAUCAUUACCGUUGGGCGUGCAUUUGACAAGCUACCAUAGUUUUGCCCGAAACAAUUUUACUGGCUCAGUUACAUCCUUGCCGCUUGCUGCUGAGAAGUUGGGGAUGCAGGGGUCCUAUGCAUUCUUGGCUGAUGGGAAUCGUCUUGGUGGUCAGCUUCAGCCUAGCAUAUUUGACAAGUGCAACAACUCAAGGGGCUUUGUUGUGGAAGUCAGUGACAACUUGAUAGCUGGAGCUAUUCCUGCAGAAAUUGGCUCGCUGUGCAGUUCUCUUGUUGUUCUUGGUAUUGCUGGUAAUCAGCUUUCAGGUGCGAUACCAUCAAGUAUUGGGGAGUUAAGUUACCUUGUCAGCUUGGAUUUGAGUAGGAAUGGCCUUGGUGGUGAAAUUCCUACUUCUGUAAAGAAAUUGCCGCACUUAGAGCGCCUCUCUUUGGCCCAUAACCUUCUGAAUGGCACCAUUCCAGCUGAUAUCAAUCAGUUGCAUGCUCUCCGGGUUCUGGACCUGUCAUCAAACCUCCUCACAGGGGUUAUCCCUGAUGCCCUUGCUGACUUGAGAAAUCUCACUGCACUCCUCCUUGAUAACAAUAAACUUACUGGGAAGAUUCCUUCAGGAUUUGCUAACUCAGCAUCCCUUGCCAUGUUUAAUGUGUCAUUCAACAAUUUGUCUGGCCCGGUGCCAACGAAUGGGAAUACGGUUAGAUGUGACAGCGUUAUUGGGAAUCCUUUACUGCAAUCUUGUCAUGUGUACACUCUGGCCGUGCCCUCAGCUGCUCAGCAGGGUCGUGGUUUGAACUCGAAUGGCUCCAAUGACACAACACCUACAGAUGCACAAAAUGAAGGAGGGAACAAUGCAUUCAAUGCAAUUGAAAUAGCUUCUAUAACUUCUGCAACAGCCAUUGUUUCUGUCCUCCUUGCACUGAUCGUGCUCUUCAUAUACACAAGGAAGUGCGCUCCCCGGAUGUCAGCUCGGUCUUCUGGAAGAAAGGAAGUUACAAUUUUCCAAGAUAUAGGUGUGCCGAUCACUUAUGAGACUGUUGUUCGAGCCACUGGAAGUUUCAAUGCGAGCAAUUGCAUUGGAAGUGGAGGCUUUGGAGCCACUUACAAAGCUGAAAUUGCACCUGGAGUGUUGGUAGCUAUCAAGAGGCUCUCAGUCGGGAGAUUUCAGGGAGCCCAACAGUUCCAUGCUGAGAUAAAAACCCUAGGGAGAUUAAGGCAUCAAAAUCUUGUUACCUUGGUAGGUUACCAUCUUGGCGAGUCUGAAAUGUUUCUCAUAUAUAACUACUUAUCUGGAGGAAACCUUGAGAGGUUUAUACAGGAGAGAUCCAAGAGACCAGUGGACUGGAAAAUGCUGCACAAGAUUGCAUUGGAUGUUGCAAAAGCACUUGCUUAUCUGCAUGAUACCUGUGUUCCUCGUAUCCUUCACCGGGAUGUGAAGCCAAGCAAUAUUCUGUUGGAUACUAACAAUAAUGCUUAUCUCUCAGACUUCGGACUGGCGAGACUCUUGGGAAAUUCAGAAACACAUGCAACCACUGGCGUAGCUGGAACAUUUGGAUAUGUCGCUCCAGAAUACGCCAUGACUUGCCGUGUUUCAGAUAAAGCUGAUGUGUAUAGCUACGGCGUUGUCCUGAUGGAGCUAAUUUCAGACAAGAAAGCCUUGGACCCAUCAUUUUCUCCCUAUGGUAAUGGGUUCAACAUAGUUGCUUGGGCAUGCAUGCUGCUUCGUCAAGGCCGUGCACGGGAAUUCUUUAUUGAUGGUCUGUGGGAUGUUGGCCCCCAUGAUGACUUGGUAGAGACAUUGCAUUUAGCAGUGAUGUGCACUGUUGAUUCGCUCUCUAUUCGGCCAACUAUGAAGCAGGUCGUCCAGCGGUUAAAGCAACUACAGCCCCCAAUUCGUGAACAUCGAUAGAGAUGAAUAAUUUACACAUUCCACAUGUAGAAGAAGGUAAAGAUAGCCGUGACCUGCGCCGUUGAUGAUUUUUUUUUUCUAAUCAUCUGUUUGACUAGAUUUUAUCCUGUAGAUGGCAGCUUUGUAUAAUAUAGUUUUCUCCUGAAUCUCACUAAUGUAUCUGCUGAUAAGAAGAGCAGGUGUAAAUUAACAAUUUUAAUGCCAAAGAUUUCAGUUAAGAUUGCCUUACUGUAUUAUUUUAUUAUUCUCUCUAUAGUGUAUCCGGUGCAUUAGUGUUUAGUCUGUACAUGCCCAAUCACCAUAUGUAAGCAGUAUCAACUAUCUGCAUGGAAUUAGCGUACUGGACAUUGCCUUGGGAGAAGUUCAUUAACUUCCACGUGCGGUCAUAUUUCAACCAGUUCCUUGACAGGUCUUCUAUCGUUCUAUGGCUUGCAUUUUUUAAAUCUGAAUUAUUUAUAUGAAGGUCAAAGUUAUCAUGUGACCAAUUAAUCUAACAAGCAGAGCUCAUACGUGUAUCAAAACAGGGAAUGCUGAAACAUUAAUCAUGAAGGAAAUCCUUGUGCACGCAUGUGCUCUUCCUCUAAAUUUCUGCACUUUUGGAAUGGUGACACCACCGCAUUAUGUUUGGCAUUGCUAGGCUCUUACUGCUACUGUUUUGUAUAUGUAUGUCAUAUAACAAAGUGUAUCAACUGUCAUCCUGAAUCUGCUGAGCUGUCUAAAGUAAAGAAAAACGAUCAGCAUAUACUGUCUAUGUUUUCUUUCUGAAGUCGCUGAAGGGUUCUCAGAAUUUCAACAUCAGGAAUGCUGAAUGCAUUGCACCUGUUAUAGUCUGUACUCAAAACCCAUUCAUAUGUUGAUUCAGGCUUUUAUUUUGUACUAACUAUGCAAAUUCAAAGUACAGAGGACUGUUUCGGUACCUACUCAUCUAUGGAAGUUAUACAGAGGACUGUUCUAUGCUUUGCUGUGUGUGCAACUGCAACAUGCACAGGUUCAUCAGGUUUUUUUGGAUGCCUGUUUGUCUUGACCACUCUAUCCUAUUGGCACACUGCACAGCUCAAUUUGCUGAAGGUCAGAGAGUUCUUCAUGACGAUCAUGUGAAACAAGAUAGAGAUUCAUGCAAAGUUAAAAGGGGAUCACUGUUAGCACGAUGAACGGAUAAGAGGUAGCUCUGGUCCAAAUAAAAAACAAUAUAUGGCCAUUGCAAAAUCCAAGGAAUUGUCCCUACACUGGAAACAAGAGUACUACAUUCUGGAUGAAAGAACCAGCUACCGGUCAGUAACUGAACUAAGCCAGUGUGUAUCCUAGUGACCCCCUAACCUCACGCUACGAAAUCACGAUCAGUCUUUCUUCUUGGCCGUCCACUCCUGGAACCGGCGGAGGCUCGCCGGGAAGUCGGUGAAGAGCCCGUCGACGCCAACGUCGUUGAUCCAGUAGUCGUACUCGGCGUAGGGGUCCUGCCUGAAGUUGAAGUGCAGGAACUUGUUCUCGUUGCGGUACGUGUAAGGGUGCACCUGCAGCCCUCGCGCGUGCGCCAUGGCGACGAGGUCCGUCGGCGUCGCCAGCCGGUUGUCCUUGGUCGGCGGCACCACCGUGUCCUUCCAGGGCCCGAUGCCGACCACGUACUUGCUCAUGUAGUCCAGGUACUCGCCGGAGGUGAUCUCGUCGUAGGACUGGUUGGUGUCCUCGGUCCGGACGGUCACGUCGUCGAUGAGGAAGAUGAGCGGCGAGUCGGUGAGGCCGGCGGCGCGGACCAGAGAAGUCGGCGCGAAGGACUGGACGAACACCGGCUUCGCGCGCCACGCCGGCGACAUGUACCUGCCGCCGUACCCGUACUUCUUGAGCGUCGCGACGAACUUAUCCUCGUACCUCUUCCCGUCCGCCCAACGGACGUGCUUGUUCAUGAACGCCGGGUUCUUCAUCUCCGGGUAGAUCCCCACCACCCUCUUGGCGUUCAGCGCGAUGUCGAUGAACUCCUCGAACGUGAUGAUCGGCGAAAUGCCUGCGGUAACAAAAAAAACCAGAUUGUCGGUGAACAUUGUUCGCCGGAAAUGGCGAUUGGAUCGCCGGUCGGGAAGCCGGACGCGCCGCUCACCGUCGUGGGACUUGUCGCGGAAGUCCCAUCGCUGCUUCGCCCUCAGCGUCUUCAGCUCCGCCAGCGUGAAAUCAGCUGCAAGAAUAUAAUCAAGAACAGAACAGAUGCUUCGGAUUAUCCACUCGAUGGUUCCGAUCAACACAGCGGUAUGAAGAAAUCAAAUCACUGUACUGCAUUGAAUGAUCACGGGCGGUGUGAACUGUGCACGUACUGAUGAAGUAUCCGGUGACGUUGGCCCACUGCACCUCGAGCGUGCGGCGGCGUCCGGCGAACUCCGGGUGGUCGGCGACGUCGGUGGCGUCGUCGAGCGUGGUGUCGUGGAAGCAGACGAGGUGGCCGUCCCUGGUGGCCUCGAUGUCCGCCUCGAUGAAGUCGGCGCCCUCGUCGAUGGCGCGCGCGUACGCCGCCGCCGUCUCCUCGGGAAACUCGCCGUUGGAGCCCCGGUGCGCGAUGUUGAAGGGCCGCGACGUCUGCAGCGGCGCCCUGCUGUCCCCCCACGCCCCGCCUCCACCUUCCCCGACCAGCGGCCGUGCCGCGACGACGCUGGACGCGACGGCCGCCGCCGCCACCAACACGGCCGCGACCACCCCUGCACGCAAGAUUGAUUAGUAAUGCAACGAUGUAUCAAGAUCGUAUCGCGCCACGGUGAAGGCCAGGAGAUCGUCGUGUGCACGUACGGAGGGAUGCCAUUUCCGGCGGCGCGAUCGCUGCUGUUGGAGGGGAGGAGGUGGACUGGGCUGCCGCGACGGCGAGUGCUAUAUAAGCGGAGGCGUUGCGGCGCGGGGAAUAUUCCAGCGGGAUUUGUGUCAAUCACCGUUAAUCUGGUGCGUGUUUAUUGGAGAUGAUGAUAUCUUCCAAGAGAUUAGCAUCGGGGAGGAACGUGUUGGGCCUAGGGAUGAUCCUGCAGUCCACAGGUGGCCACUGAAAUGGGCCCAUCUAAAAUGCCGUCAGAGAACACGCACACCAAACUGCUGCACUGUCCCAACACCGAAGCCCAAGCAGGCCCGCAUCGGCCGAGCCACGCGUCCGACCUUCGCGGCUGUUCGGCCGAGAGAGAAAUAUCGUCGCCGGAGCUGUGACGAGGACGGCGGUGUGUCCGAGAAUCAACGGCUGGGGUGACGUCACCCCAGCCCACCUGUCUGGAACUGCAGCGAUCAACUUUUCCAUGGUUGCGUUGCGUCGUCCUACAGCAAUCAUGGAGGCCUGCCACCUUGGGCAGCAGUACAAUUCACAGGGAUAGGGUGGCCAUUUCUGUCGCGCUCUCUUCAGUCCCCGUCCUGCAAACGCUGCAACGACGGUGACUCGAUGAGCGAGUGAAAGUGAAACUGCACAGCGAGUCAGCGACAGGAAACCAGCCGGGUGUGCCUCAACUGAACCAGCAUCCAUUUCGGACAUUGUUAACCUCAAGAUCCCUCCAAUUCGCUCACUCUCUUAACUUACAGGUUACAGCAGUAUCCAGCUCGCUAACAUAAUUAACUAAUCAUAUGAUUACCAAGAAACGAAAAAGAAAAAGUUUAAGCUUCUGCUUCUGUCUGCUCCUCAAAAAAGUUUAAGCUUCUGCUUCUGGCCCCACUGCUCAAAAAGUUUAAGCUUCUGCUUCUGCCUCGUGCUCAGAGGGUUUAAGCUUCUACUGUGCCUGCCUCCUCUGACAUCUCCCCCUACAUUUACUUGCACCGGACGAAGCAGAAGCAUGCCCCACUGCUCAAAAAGUUUAAGCUUCUGCUUCUGGCUCCUGCUCAAAGGGUUUAAGCUUCUCCUGUGCCUACUUCAUCUCAUAUCUCCCCCUAAAAGGGUUUACAUGUACCAGCAGAACCAUGCCCGCCGCCAUCACAAGAACACCGACUGCUGAGGGUUGACGACGAUAUGCCGCAGCGGGUUGGUGACGUCGCCGCCGCCGGCGUGCCGCACGAACUCCGCCGGCGUCAGGAAGUUGCCGUGGCAGACGCAGACUAUCCUGACCUCCUCGCCUUUCCUGUACUUGUACAGGAAGCCGUCGGUCUUGCGGCCGCUGGGCCCCUCCACCUUGUAGGAGACCAUCGGCAUGUCCUCCACCAUGCUGUUGCGGAGGUCGCCGGUGCUCGCCGUCCGCAUCGUCAGCGACCGCAGCGUCCGCAGCGGCGGCUGCUCGCGGCCGGUGGUGCCGUUCGAUGGCCUCCCGGUUCCUGACGCCGUUGGGGGCCUGGAGCUGCUCUGCCCACCGGAGGUCUCCGCCGUGUUCAUGGCAGGAGGGCUCUUCGCCUCUGCUCCACUACCUGCUGAUGCUACAAGAACAGAGAGGCACAAGCUUUCAGAUUCAAAUGAGAUAACCUGCAUUAGCUGCGGUGAGACGAACUCUGACGUGUGCUAGUGUUUCAAUAUAUAUGAAUGUGAAUUUCUAUCAUAAUGAACUUUGCCCCAAUGGACAAUGCAUAAAGGUAGUAGGGUAGUACUAGACCAUACACACCAGCCCAGACAAUGAUUAAUCCCAUAAUCACACUUAUGGCUACCUAAUGACUCAACUUGCCUAUCAUUGCAGAUGCUGAUUAACUAUAUAUGGUCUAAGCGUCCAGCCAUAGCGUAGCAUCUCUGUAAAACUAACGUGCACAUCAAAGAAUUCUGUAACUGACAGCAAUGGAAGGAAACUAGUAGCUACCAGCCAAAAACAUGAGGGAUCAUGUCCCAGGGCAUCAUCUUUGUCAAAAAUAGUUCCGCAUUACUACUGCAAGAGCAAAUUCCCAAAACGAUGAAACAAGAUGACUAGGACAUGACAUGGAAAAUUCCUACGGCAUGAAGGUCGUGCAAUCCAUCCCUACAUGACUAGUACACUUCUUUCCGGUAGCAUCAAUAACAAAAUGGUUAGCUACUUCUAAACAGGGGGGAUCAUCAAGAACAGGUAAUAAACACAUCGCAGGUACAUGUCAUCAGAACAGCAAACGAGAUCACAAACCCACAGCUAAAGAUCCAUGUCUGAUGAUGAAACCUGCUUCACCUAGAUCUCUCUGCUCAGACAUCGGACAAUGAGACAUCUCGUACUGAGUACCUAACGGAACCCAACCCAACCCAACCCAAGAAAAUCUGUCCAUGCAUCAUCAAGAAGUAUCAACCAAGAAAACGAAAUGAAACGGAUAAUUGUGCUGGACACGCGCAAUAAAACAGUGGAGAUUAGCAUGCUGUUAUACCUUGCUCCGGCACGCUGGACGAGGUGGUCCCCUGCAAGGCGACCGUGCGCCGGAACUGGAAGCCGCUGGGCACCGUCUGCUCCAGGGCUUCGUCGCGGCAGACAGCAGCGCUAGCGUUGGUGCCCGACCUGCCGGAGUUCAUGGAGUUCCGGCGCUCGAGGCGCUUGCGCUUGGCCUCGAGCCGCCGCUGGCUCUGCAUCGCGCGGCGGCGGAGCCGGUCCUCCAUGUACUCGGUGGGCAGCGAGGAUGUGCGGAGCAGGUCCGACGGCGGCGCCGUGACGGCGGCGGGUUCCUCGCCGGAGGGGAAUCCGCCGGGCAGCGAGCAGAUCGAGGGGAUGGACGUGGACCGCACAAGGCGCGGCUUCUUCGCCUCGUGCGCCGGGUCGGCGCCGAAGCAGCCGCCGAGGGACAGACCGAGGCUGAGCUCGAUGUCGUCCGAGUCGACGGUGGCGGCGCUUCCACCGCCCGCAGCCGGUGCUCCUCCAUCCCGCCCGAACCUGCCCAGGAAAUCCCUCGACGCCAUCUGUCCCCUCCGGGCUCCAAUCCCUCCCACGGAUUGACCGAGGAGGAACGCUUCUCAAUGACCAAAAAUUCAGCUACAGAGAACACAGCAACCGAUUACGCUCUCCGGCUCAUCAAAGCACCAAACAGAACCAGAUUUUUUUCAAAAAAGAAAAGGAAACACCCCACACGCCACGAGUUCCACCGUCAACACAGAAUUGACAUCCCGCAUGCCCCAAGCAUGUAACAUUGCAGCAGGCAGCAACCGGCGCCCUCUGCCCCCCGAAUCCCACACCGAGAAAUCGGGAGAACAGUGGAACAGACGCGGCGAAACGAAGCGGAAUUCGAGAGACCAGAUCCCUCACCGUGAGCGGAACCAGGACGACUAAGGAGGCGAGCCGAAGCGGAGAGCAGAGGCGACCUCGGUGCCUGCCUCCCUCUAAUCUCCUUCGCUCUUGCGCCCCCCGCUAACAAAAAAAAUAGGGAGGGUUUUCGCUGAAUUUUUUUCCGGCGAAAAUGGGGAGUGGAAAUUGGUUUUUGUAGUGGGGGGGAGGACUGAGGAGGCGGAGGUUCGUCGGAUGGGACUACGAGCGCACGGCACCCGGACACGUGUCGGACAAUGCGCACACGUGUUGGGCCGCCACGAGCCGAGCCGGGGCAGGGGCUGCGCCGGCUCGGCUCCGGCGCGCUGCCGUGGGGGCUUAAAAUAGUGUGACGUGUCGAAGGCGCGGUGGGGCGUUGGGCCUGACAUGUUUCGGGAGGUUUCCUCGGGCUGGAAAAUAUCAAGUGUACAGUACUAGCAUCCUUCUAGAAAUGCUGAGCUAAAUAAGAAACCUUAUGAAUAUACUGCUAAAUAAGGCAAAAUUAACGUAAAUUAACCGUGUCAUGUGAGAAUUUCUUUUUCUUUUCUGACAAAUCUGGUGCUGCUGGUGCUUUUCGACCAAAGAGCGGUAAUUUGUUGUUGUUUCUAUCUCGCUGAAUUUUUGGGGAUUGAGAACAGUUCAUGCUCCGAGAAUCGGUGGAAAGAAGUGAUCUUUUUGGAGGAGGUGGGCACAUGGGUGCUUCCACAUGGUUGUACACAGUUUUUGGAGGCUACAUGUUCACCUUAUACAUAAUUACAAUACCGACGAAUAUCUGCGAUCGAAAUAAAUCAUGAUUUUUUUAAAAAAAAAUGUACAAGGUGAAAUUAAUAAAAUAAGAAAACACGCAAGAUAGUGAUACGGUAGAUCUAGCUAUGACGAGUAGAAUCAAUAAUGAUUGCGCAUAUGAACAACACUAGUUGUGGCAAUAAAAGAUAGAUCGGACUGAUGGCUGAUGGAUCAAAACAAAAAGAGGCGUUAGCGUACAUCUAAUUUUAUUGAAAAAAUAAUUAUAGUAACUUUAAAGAGAAGAGGAUACAUAGACACCAUACCGAAAUAGGGCAAUUAUGCCCAUACGAUGUUGUGAGUAGGAUGGCCAUGGAGGUGGCCUUCGAGGAAGAACAUACGAGGCCACCAUGAGCCGAUAGGAAUUACAAAUAUCACCGAAGUCGAGCAUCAUCCCACGAUAGCAACUUUAAAGAAGAAUAAAGAAAGAUCUCACAACUGUUGAAUAGGUUGUGGAGCUAUUAGAUCCAUUGUCACUGAGCUACACACCAUGAAGGGCGGAAUAGCCAUGAGAAUGCUAUAGGAGGAUUAGGUGCUUAGCAGGAUGGGUUGGAGUAGCCAAGCGGCCGAAGUGGUAUGAGAAUGGAGGGGUGUGGCGAAAUAAAUAGCAAGACGGGAUGUAACGGACAAACCAAACUACGUAAGCGCUGACGUCUUUUCGCAUCAAUACGUAAGCACUGACGUCUUCUCGCAUCAACACGUAAGCACUUAUGUCACAUAUAGUAAAGAAAAAUAAAAGAUGCACUUAUGUCACAUAUAGUAAAGAAAAAUAAAAGAUACAGUACAUGUUGGUAAUGGCUCCUCUCCGCUUCAACUCCAUGGUAAGAAGGUUUCACUGGCUUCUACCAUUUCCCAUGUCAUUUUCCUCUCUAUUUGUUAAAUACCUCCUUGUAACAAAAAAAACCAAUACUGCUACUAUGCAGACUUUAGAACAUCAAAAGGAAUUGUCGAAGAUGGAAGUUGUCCCAAACACGCCCACAUAUUGACUAGAACUUUGAAUCUUAAUGAAAAGACGAUAUAUAACUAACUCUCAAUAAAAUCUAAUUAAGAAAUAAACGGUUUAUCAAUGUUGUUUAUACUUUCUUAUAUGUAUAGUAUGUACUCCACUAUCAAAAUGUGUUAGUUAAAAUGUGAAAACUAUUCUUUUGUAUAGAUAUACUUCCUCCGUUCCAAAAUAUUUACACCUCUACAAUUUAAAAUUUAUCCCAAAAUAUUUACACACAUAGGUACAAGAUCUAAGAUUCUAGAUUACCAGGUGGACCAGCUCACAGGAAAAAAGAUCGACUUGUAUAACCUCCGUCUGGACUCUGGACGCUUUUCAACCUCUCGUCCGCCAUCAACCGGUGUUAAAAGAAUAGAUGAUGCUUCCAGAAAUCCUUCCGCCUCUGCAUGGAGCUGCAGCACAGUGCGGUGCAGUCACCGAAGUCAACGUGAGCGAAUUUCUUAUAGAGGCAGCAACGUCAUUUUAAUAACUGUCUUGAUUUUCACACUGAACUUUGGAAAUGCAUGAAGGAGGGAGCAUAGAAGAUUCAUCGAUGUGCAAAACGCAACAGCCAACAGUCUUAGUAGAACACCCGGCCAUUAACCAGACACCAUUACAGAAAUUUUGAAAAAAUAAACAGCCACGUCCCGUUUACUCAACUGACCGGCUCGGUUCGGCUUGGCUCGCGGCUGGGCUACACGAGAGGCGGCUGGCUCCUCAGGGACCACUCCCCUAGGAUGCAGGCAGGCAGGCCAUACGGGCUAGCCUGCAACUGGCACCCAACUAAACAGCUGUAACUUGCCGCGGCGCUGGGCCCCACACGCGUCGCGCGGGGCCUACGCAGCAGCCACACGUCUCAGGCAUCCGCUUUAAACCCGCGGGGCCCGCGCAGGGACGGGGGCUACGUGUGUGCGCAGGGCGCCGCAUCGCUCGCCACGUGCCGCUUCCCGGCCCGGGGCGCGCGGGCCCCAUGACAGCUCACUGCCCCCGAGGCCAACUUGCCGGGUCGCCAGGCGGGCCCUCGCGCUGGACGCCGCAGCCCUGCCCUUGUAUCAUGACGCGUGGGUCUCGUGCGUUACGGGCCCCACAGGUCAGCGGGGUGAGGUGGCCCGCGCUGUGUUGCGGCUGCGAGAGAUGGCGUGCGGGGCUGCUAGGGUAGACCCACGUCUACUACACGCCUCGUUCACAUUGAAUGACACGCGGGUCCGUUAGAUACCCGGCCCGCAAAUCAGUGGGCCCGGUUGUCGCGACGCCUGCGGUUGGAGGGAGACACGUCACGCCUGGUAAUGUGACGGCGACGUACUGGCGCGCCGCAUCCACGUGUCGGGCUGCGGCGGGCAGGGCCGAACGGACGGCAGCGAUGGUGCCCUGCUGUCCCCAGGAGUGGGCCCCGCGCACAAGUGGAUGGCGGAUAGUGUUUGCUUGCGGCCCCACGGUGGUAGAGGCGCGGAUCGUCUGCGGGCAAGGCCAAUGUUUCAGUCAGCGGUAUACAUUUUAUAGCUAUAGCGAGGACUAUGUGCUAUGUAGUUUUAAAUAGUGUUAAGUAAUAUACUCAAUCCCUGAUGAAAAUAAGGUAUCUAAAUAUUUAAAAUCUGCCUCCAAGUAUAAAAUAUUAUAGGUAUAUUUGGAUAUCGGUUAUUUAAAUCUCUGCCAAAAUUCUCUUCAACCGAGUUAAUGACGUGAAAAAAUUUUUGUCUCUAACAAUCUCCUAUAAUAGAUGUAUUGAGUUAAUGACAUGCAAAUAUGGCUUUUAAACCAUGUGCCAUCCAUUUUGUGGGUCUUGACGUUUGCCAAUUGACAAUCAAACAAGACACUUGUGAGAGGCAUGGUAGUCUUUUGCUAAUCUCUUUAGUCUGUCUUGAAAUUGCUAGUAUACAUAAUAUUUUAGGAUGAAAGGAGUAUGAAACAACAAAUAUGUGUGAUAUGUAGGUACAACAAAUAAGAAAAAAUAAUUUUAAAACCACCAAAGUACUUACAAAUUGGUUGUAACUAUAUUCUUAGAAUCCAUAAAUAUCAAAUAUGUAGACUAGGAUACUGAGAGAGAGAAAGGUUGGACGUUUUGAUACUUUUUUCUCCAAGCGUAACCUUGUAAUAUUAGGUACUUUUUGUUAGUUUUAAGUUUGAAUUAAUAAUAUUGUUUGUUCUACGUGUAGAAAUGCCAUGAACAACUACAAAGCUAUGAAAUGAACCUUAGAAGAGGAUGGAGAAAUGAAACGGUACAUCUGAUGUGCAGGGGACACAUUCGUCUUUAGGCCAAAGCAAGAGAAAAGUGUCAUAAGUAUCGUGUGUUUAUUGUUUCUAGCAGCAAAAUAACUAGAUCCGUCUUACAAUCCACGCAAGAUAUAAGUUGAUGUAAAUGUGGGAAUUGAGACGAACAUAUAAAUGGGUCACCUUUCGUGAUCAAAUUUUUUUUGGAUUUACUCCCUCCAUAGAACAGAUUAACAAGGAGGUAAAACGACUUCAAUUACCCUCUAUUUAUUAGCUAUAUUUGACGUUAAUUGAUUGCUGCAUGCCCACAUGCACAUGCAUGCACGCCAAAUUGAGUAUAACAAUUUAUUUUCGGGAUAAAUUUUGAAUCGUAGAAUAGCUUGUUUUUGGGACAGGGGAUCGUCAUUGCAGGAGCUAGUAAAGCAUGUUGCUAGUCCAACCAUGCAUGGUAUGUAGCAUGAACUCAAUAUAACAAAAGUACCAGUUUAUCCGGAUAAGCAUAUAAGCUCCAAGCAUCUGAACAUGAAGCACCCACAAUUGCUGACCGAUCAUCUAGGCUUCUACAGCAUCAAUGAUUGCCGAGCAAGGUGCACACAGAGAAACCACAACCACAGCCUCAUGGAGCACGCCAAGUGCCACAGACUUGCCGUCCGCAGGCGAUCCAGCGAAUCCGCGAGGCGGGGAGCAGAAUCUUGGGUAUAUCGCUUUUGUACGAUGUUGGCCACAGGGAGAGAGAGAGGGGGAAAAAAAUCUCUGGGUCGGCGAUUUGACGCUGUCCGAUUGAAGCGCCCAAUAAUUAACUCCGCCGUGUCUUGCCGCGGCUGGGUUGGGUUGGUCGCGGCAAGUGGUGUGCAGGCAACGGGGACGCCGGGCUCGGCUAAACUAAUGGGAUUGGCUUAUUGUAGCAAGCGCGGAGGUUGCUUUCUGACGCUACCGUGCUACGCUAACGCUAGCGUUGGCGGCAUCUUGCUGUGAUUUGAAUAUAAAUAAAUAAAUAUAUAUAUAUACACACACGCACAUUGGAAUAAUAAGUGACACUGAUGGCUAAAUUCUUUGGAGUUUUAUACUUUUAUGUGCCUAAAUAAACAUGUUGAGCGUGUCAAUGCUUUAGAGUUUUGGAGGGAUUCCGCGUUCCACUGAGCGUUUGCAAAUGUUCCUUUAAUAUAUAGUCUCACUGAUAUAUGGGCUUGCCUAAUUCCAACAAGUUAUCAAUAGAGGCGUGGUGUUCAUGUAAUCAUGUGAUAGUGAUCAUAACUUAGAGACGUAUAUGUUUCAGUGGUCGACAAAAUACUUACUACUGCACAACUCGACGAUAACGACCCAAAUCCAACAAAAGAUACCAUCACACGACAUAAGUUUAUCCAUUGUAUUUAUUUGUCGACAAUGACGGUGAUGUUUACCGUAGCUAGCUAGCUCUCUCUAUAUAGCUGCUUUAUUUAUUAUCAGUAUAAAUAAAUAAAAAGGGGUAGAUCCAACACGCAAACUAGCUAGCUAGCAAUUGGCCACAAAUCGUUGGACAGCCAGCGGCCAGCGUCUGAAAAUAAAGCGCAAGUUGCCAUGCGAUCCUUGUUGCAUCGAUCUCGCGCGCCGUAGACCAACAACACUAAUCCCUGCUGUUAAAUUAAUCCCCAACUUGCAGCUCGUGAUGAAGUACGUUAACUAGCGCUAAGCACUGCACUAACUGAUCACCAUCAGGAGGAGCAAGUGGUGGGUCACGCUCACGCGUGUACACAUGCCAACAAGGAGAAAUAUUUCUUUUCUACCUGUAACUAAAAGGUCAACAACAGAAACACACUGACGAUCGUGCAUGAGGCUUUUGGUUUGGCGAAACCAGCUCUCGGUGGGAGGAGGAGCAACCGGUCCCACUGUCAUAGAGAGGGUACGAUCAGAUGAGUAUAGCUAGCUUUCUGGCACAGUUUUUUUUUUUUUUUUUUGCUGAUCACCGAUAUAGUACGAGUGUGUUAGCUACAGAUCUGCCAUUGGUAAACGACCUGAUCCUUAGUUAGAAAAGUUGCUGAUGCUACGACAGGAUAUCGUAAUGAUUUCUACGUUUCGAGAGGGAAUCGAUCGGUGACCAAACUGACAAUCCCAUCGUCUGGUACGGAUUAAGUAGGGCCGACCAUACGUAUAUGAUCUCUGCAGAGGUACACGUAGAAGGUUCAAGGGUUACGUUGAUAGACUAUGCCCUGUCCGUACAUGCUCCAUGUGCAUCUCGCAGGGCGGAAAAAAGGUUCAGUGUGUUACGUGCGUUCAGUACUAUGCUUGUGCUAUGUAUGGUUGCAUUGCUAUAAAUUAAAGCAGCAGAGGCAUGUAAUUCUCCAGCGAGAUUUAAAAUGGGAGCUAACUGAACUUUGUAGCUCGUAGCUUGAGCAUUUCAGAUCCUAGAAAAAGUACACUACUAUCUGUUGGAUUUAACGUGGGCCAAGCCCAAUAUUUUAUCUAAUUAAAUCAAAUAAUUUUAAGGCCUGUAUUAAAUAUUGUGCGUACUAUCUGGUUUAGUAGCACAUGAGAAUUUGAUUGAAUGUUGACUUAUAUACGUGAAAUAUAUUUGCUUAUAUUGAGAAGUUGAGAAAAGGGUGAAGGCAUGCCACGCGCGCGUGCCGCUGCCGAGCUGUGGCGUGCCAUGCCUGCGUGCGGAGAGGAGCAGAGUUUUGCCACUCAAGUCAAUUAAUUCUAGUAGCUUCUAAUGGAAAGGAGUUUCUGAAGUUUAAAGCUGGUGGAAUGGUAGUGUCUGCGGGGUUACAAGAGUUACUUCCUCCGUAAUUGCUGACUCCUCGAGAGGUUACGAGAGUUACUUCCUCCGUGACUGCUGACUCCUCCGUUCAGCUUCUGCCCGUGAGAAUAAAAGGAGAACUCCUUCAACAUUAUAGGGAGAGCAGGCCUUCGGAACCAAACCGUCUACGAGUUCAUCCGCUCGUCGGACCACAUCUGCUUCCACUGCAUCGACAGGAACAACUACAUCGACAGAAGCUAUGAACGGCACUGCUGGGUAUGCUACCGUUACACUUUAUAUUCUCAUUUUAGCACUGAUUAGUAUUGUCUACAUGUUCCUGAAGCAUCCAAACACAGCACAUAUUUGAUGUCACAAACUUGGUAGUAUUUUUCUGGAUUAAAUUAGUACUGAAACUGUCUAGAUCUCUAACACCAUCUAGGAUUAAUUAUGUUUCAAACCUUUAGCAUUUGAAGAGACACUGUUUCCCAUUAUUAAUAAUCACUACGAUCAUGAAGGUACUAUUUCAUACUCUCAUAUACGCAUACUCCAACAACUAUACAACAUCACACAUAUAUGGUCGAGCUGUGUGUAGCAUGCAUUAUUCCUUUAUAUGUAAUGUAAUGUUAAGGAAUACUGCAUCUUCAUUGCGAUUCUCCCUCCAAAUCCAAACAUCUUGAACGACCCCAGUCGAGAAUUGGAACCACGAGUAGUAGGACGUUUCAAAGUGGCCUGGUCCUACCGUGUGCUUACUUCCAAACCCAUUUCUUAACAAGGGAACGCAAAUUGGUCCACGUCAAGCCCAUCAACUUCACAUCAUUAAACCCUCAAGCAGGCAAAAAAGUAGGAGGUGGGGCCGGGGAGCAAACAGCCGAUACGUGUAAAAGCACAGAAAGGUCCACCCAGUACAUUCCUUGACCACAAGCGCAGAAAGCCCUCUUGCGCAACUUGGGAGCAGAAUAUUGCCCAGAAAUUGGAGCCUUUACAUCUCCUCUGCUACUUGCUGUUCCUUUCAUCCUCCCAGUCCCAGUACAUGCAUAUGCGUGAUAGUUUAUGUUAUCCACCGACCACUAUUCAGUGUCGCCACGACGCCAAAUUGCAUCGGCGUCAAAUCGCUUGGCCCCCUCGCUACGUGCAUGCACCUGGAGCCGAUACAAUACGUGCAACUUGCCGAUGUGGUGCUCAGGCCAUAAUUCAUGUGGUCGCACCUUGCAGAUUCCUUCGCUGUCUCAUGAUAAGUGUAUAAGUAUUAAGCUGGUAGGGCCAUGCUUGUACUUCUCGGUUCCGUUUUUUUUUAGCUUAAUUUCCUCGCUCCAAUAAUGUAACACCUAUUCCUUUAAAAAGAUUUCCAUAAUUUUUUUAUUUCUUUUAUCAUCAAAUGUUACAAACUCAAUUUUUCACAUUAAAAGUUGGUUAUUAUGAAUAUAUUUGCAUUGCGUAACUUCCAUAUACUAAUUUAAUUAACACUUAUUUCUUUAAAAGGAUUUCCAUAUUUUUUAUUUCUACCAUUAUCAAAUGUUAAAAACUCAACUUCAUAUUAAAAGGUCCAUUGGUUAUGAUGAAUCUAUUUGCAUCGCGUUACUUGCAGCUUCUACAUAUACUAAUUAAACACGAAUAUAGUUUGAUAAAACAUUUGGUAAGACUUACAUAGUUUGUUUUAUUUUUAAAUCAGAAUGCGUCUUACGGACAAAGGUGUAUUUCUUUUUUUUUUUAAAAAAAAGCGAACCAGGCAGGCAAAGGUGUAUUUCAUUGUAGUCAGCAAAGGACAAGUUAUUUUGGAGCGUUUGAUAUUGCUCGUCGUUGUUUGUGGGAGAAUAUGCAGAGAAAUGGGGGAUCCUAUAAUUUGUAAAAGAAAACGACAUGACAUUGCAGCGGGAGGUCAUGCCGGACGUUCGCCGCGGACCGCUGUCAUCCGCUUCUACUUCCGUGCAUGACGAAGCUGAAUGAUAGAAUUCUGUGCCGACGAGGACAUGGUAAUCGUUCAGGCACCACAGGUUCCGCCUCUCAUCAUUCUCUCGGCCGCUCUUUUUUCUCUUUCACUGAAAGCGGCGGACAGGGAGUGCAUGCACCGCACGGAGAGCAAGUUGCCGUGCGGCCGGCCGGCGGUCUAGCCGUGCAUGGAGUACUUGGCAACAUGACAACGACACGGGCACACACCUACACCAGGGGAGGAGGGAACGGGGGGAAAGGCGGAGGGGGAUCCGCGAAAUAUCUCGUGGCCGCGACGGGUCGUGUCGAUUCGAUGGCCGCGCAACGCAACCGCGGGCUUGGGAACAUGUGUCGCCCGCGGGGGACGAGGCGGAUCGCGGCCGGGAUUUGAUGCCGCUCCGCGACCCCGGAAAGGUCGUGAGUGAUGAGUGAUGGAUGCUGAGUUGGGGAAGCUUGCACGGCAGAUGCUCCCCUGUCUGCAAAGGUUGUGGUCAGCAGUAGCCCGGCCCAAAAUGGAUAAGAGCUUUGUUGUUCCCUCGACAAUAACAUUAGCAGUGCCCAGCUUUCGCCUCGACCGCCAAGGCGACAAGUGUGCACAAGCAGCCCAGCUUCCCUCAGGGCCAUAGGAGAAUAGGAAUAGUUAAGACACGCAGAUGAAAGAAGCAGAGUGAUCCAGCAACGAGCAACAAAGCACAGAAGUCAAAUCGCACAAUUGCUAUCUCCAGAUAAGCGCCCAACAUAGCCCAUGGGAUGGAAUUCAUAAAUGCAGCCCAUGCCGAAGUUUGUGUAAACCUGAUGCUCCUAGUUCCUAGGACACGUAAACAAAGCCGCUGCGAGAACACUCCUCAUUCGCUAACCUAAAAAAACACCCUCACUUCUACCCUCAAAAAACUCCUUCACUACUCCCAUGGGCUACAAAAUGACCAGUCUACGAAGCAACCGGUGUUGGUGUCUGUUGCUUGAGACCAUUGCCGCGCUCAGCCCUCCCGUUUCCAUUCCCAUUCCCAUUGUUGUAGGGGCGUCGCUGUUGAUUACCAUCGUUCUGGUGGUAGCCAUCGUUCUGAUGGUAGCCGUUCCUGUUCCGGUGGUAGCCGUUACCGUUCUGCGGGUAGCCAUUCCCUUGAGGCCCUCGGCCACGGUCUGAAUACUCGUUCUGGUUCCUGAAGUCGUUCCUCAUGUUACCACCACCGUUGUAGUAGCCAUUGUUCCGGAAGCCCUGUCCCCUGUAGUUGUCACCAUUGUAACCACCUCUGCCUGACGGGAACCGACUGCCAGCCCCAUUGUCGUCACAACGAGUGACAACACCAUCAACAACUGAAAUACAAAAGAAAGUAGCACAUCAGUUGAAUCAAACAGUAAUGAGCACAUAGUAGGAUAUUUGGCUGAAGCACAAUAUCUCACUCGUGAAAUGCACUCACCUCGGGUUUUAGUUCUUUUUUCCUCAACAUAUGAUUCCCAGGAGCCGAAAUAAACUCUAGAUUCCUAAAAUGGAAAUACAAGUAAAUACUAUGAACAAUCAGAUACUCAAAUUAUAUAAAACACUGCACAUAACACAUUCUCAGCAUAUUCAAGUUCACAUACAGUACUCCAGCUAAUCAAAACUACUUCAAUCAACAAUGACGGCAAAUGCAUAGUAAAACUGAAACCGAAACCAUGAAUGCAGCUGAAAAAAAUUUAAAAUUAAAUUGCAAAGUAUGCAGUCAACCCAGUCAAACUGGACAAGCAAGUAAACAAACCUCAAUUGCUGCUUGCAUGGAAUGUUGAGACUCAAAUUCAAUGAAGCCAAAACAGAACUGAUCAAGCUGCAGCAACAUGACCAGGAUGUCAGCAGGGAUACAAAUACAACGUGUGGAAACUAAACCAACAACUGAAACUAACCUGGUAUUUUCUGACUUGUAUACCACCAGGUUUAAUAGCACCAAACCUGCUAAACUCUUGCCCAACCAUUUCAACAGUUGCUUCAAAAGGCAAAUUCUUGACAAAAACUGAAUACCCUGGCUCUGCAGAAAAAGCUAGUGUUACAGUUCAGAAUAAUAAAAAUCCCACUUCUUCUAUUUGUAUUUUUUGAAAACACAGAAAAAGAACUAACCAUCAGGGGAUUUGGUUUUAGACACAUUCUUCUCGCUUGGGGGUGCAGUGUUAGUAGCUUGAGCAGGUUUUGAAGGUGAGGACACAGAUUUCUUCGCAUUUUGAUCCGGCUUUGGCCUUGGGCUGGGUUUGGGUUUAGCAGCAGGUGCAGGUGGUAUGCUCUCCCUGGUUGUCUUAACCUACAACCCAUCAACAGCAGGCAAUACACAUAAAUAUACCAUUACAGGCAUUACAUGCAAUUCUCCAGAUGGUUGAGAACAAACCAAACAAACUAAAUCAUAUUAGAUACUUCCAAUGGUGAAAAGUACAUGAAAUUAAGAAGAUAACUCACAAUUGAUGCAUAAGUCUUCUUAGGUACUUCCUUCUCAGCCGGAGGAGGAGCUUGAGUGGCCUCAGAUACCUUCUCAAUAUCCUUGUUAACCACUUUCACACAUGUCUCAACAACAGCAUCAUUUUUAACUUGAGAAACAGCAUUUGUAGAGGGACUAAUGACUUCAUCAUUGACAGGCAUUAUGUUUUCUGUAGGUGGAAUAUUUGGUUCUGUACUCUCCUUAAUUGAAACUGUUUCUGGUCAAAUAUUAAAAUGUGUCAGCAAAUAUGUGUAAGACAAACUUAAAUGUACUCGUACUCCAUUACCUGGCUCAGCUGGCAAGGUGGUACUCUGUAUGCUUACAUCAUCAUGGUUAGCUACAACUUCCUUCACCUCAGUUGAUGGCCUUACAAUUCUGAGCAUAUCAUUCAAAACAAAAUAGCCACUUCCUUGUGGAGCAAGAAAGAACGACUGUGUAAAUUUUUGUUUCACAGCAUCAAUAGUAAAAGAUCCAGCAACCAAAAUGAGCACCCCAUCCAGAUGGGAUGGCUGUGAAUCUACAGUCUCCAACUUUAUCAAACAGUCAGUGAAGUCUGUAGACUGAAGUUGCACUUUGAUAUCCUGCUCAAGCACAGAAAAUGGAUCAAACAUUCAGAACCAACCUAUGAAUUUAUUUAUUUGUCAAUACAAGCAAAGAUCAUGCUUAGGUGAUUACUAAUAACAGGUGAGUGCUUAAAAACCCUAAUUUCUUAUCGGCAUUCAUGACACAAUACUGCUAAUUUCUUAUCUGCAUUCAUGACACAAUACUCCUAAUUUCUUAUCAGCAUUCAUGACACAAUACUCUGUUCUCCAUCCAUCAAUGUAAAGCGUAUUUUAGUUUUCAAAAGUAACUUUCCAAAUUUUGGCCAACAAUAAUCAAAUUAUACCUGGGUCUAAUGUACAAAAGUUGCAUGAAUUAAAUGCAUCAAAGAGAAUUUUAAGAUGGUGUUGAUUUUGCAGCAAUUAACUUACUAUUACAACAGAUAAGGCCGACCUUCUAGUAAUAAGUUAUUACCGACAAAGAUAUUUUUAGCACCUUAAGUCACUUAUCACACACACAAACAGAUAGCCAUUGCCAAAGUGGCUUGUUCAAUUUAAAACGAUGAUUUAGUCAAGAUAGGAGAUAACAUCCGGUUGAUCAUAGUAAACGUGAAGCUUGCUGGCGGUACUAUCGCUAACAUUGAUGGAUGAUCAACUAUUACUAUUCUAUAAACAGGAUAUAAAAACUAUUCUAAACAGAGCAGAUACAAAAUAUAAGUCACGCAAGAAAAUCUCCUGAAAUUCAAAAAGGGCAACAAAUUUCAAGGGUCCACUAAAAGUAUCUGCAUCAUGAUGUUGUAAGGAACUUACAUCCAGUGUGGUUACCGAUAUGAUGUUUCCAUUAGAAUCUGAUCGACCAAGAAUGCUCGAGUCAUUAUAGAACUUAUAGGCAUCCUCUCGCAUGUAACGGAGAGUAUGGUAGUAUUUUUUGACAAAUGCACCCGCAACCUGUAAGCAGAACCAUCGUUAUUUUAAGUUCAAUAGUAUAACUAUUGCUAGUAGUAGAUUGUUAACUAAAGGGGCAAAAACCAAUACCACAUGUGGACUAUAAGGAGCAGCCGAGCUAUCAGCUUGCAUUGCCAUAUCUGCACAAGGUAGAUAAAUUAGUAUUUAAGCACCCUGACAAGGACCAUGCUAGUAUGCAUAUCUAGUGUAACUGUUAACUGCAGUAUCUCAGAAUAAAAUGUAAAAAAAAAUUCUAGCUACAGAAAUUCCGUCUAGUCAGCUGAGCACACAGGGCAUUCAACGAUGAGCUCCUAAAUUCGAAUUAUAAAUGAUCAAUCCGGGACAAAAUUUGCAUUCAUACAGGACCUCUUUCUGCAGACAGAAACUGCAACUUACUACUAAAAGAAUUAAAAUAAAUCAAUCAUGGAACUAUGGAAGCAACUUGAGUCAACACAAUAAACAAUUUCCCACCAUGUACAAACCACAGGAGACAGCAUAAUAGUAGUUCAUGACUAUAUCUCCUUCCUGAUAGCCUGAUAAUCAACCACGAAAUUGGUGCCAGGUGUGCCACAUUAUUCCAUUUCAUACAGCUGCCACCCCUAGCUCAACAUGGAACCCAGACAAAUAAGGAACCCAGACAAAUAAAGUUCACAAUUUCAAAGCAAGGACCCUGCCAACAAGCAAUUCUCGCAAUGCUCCAUGUUUCACUUAAGAAUCGACCUUUUCUACCACAUAAAUGCAUAGAUUCCAUCCAAUCCUACACAUGGACUACAAAAGAGGACCUGAUUCAUCACAGCACAAACCAAACACCCUAAUAGAUUCGAAAAACGACUAGAAGCACAACAGCAAUUCCAAUCAACAAAUCAACCGACUCCAAACUUAUCUAUCUGGUAAAGGCCCAAUCACAAGUCCAAUCUACAAGCCACUCGAUUCCAAAUUAACUCGCUACCAAAAGCCUAAUCGCACAACGCCUCCACGCGCCAAACCCAACUUCAACCAUCAUCACACAACUCAAACCCUAAACUUCCACCCGUGACGCCCAACACGAACGCACGAUCACAGGCGACUCCACCCGAUCGCCAACAAUCCGUAUCUUCAUCAACCCUACGCGGAGAGAUCGAAAGGCAUUGCGAGAGAAGAGGGAGGGAGGAAGGGAUGGAGGGAUGCACGACCUUGGGAGCGGGAGGGCACGAAGACGGCGCCGCCCCGAGACGCCGCCGCCUUCGCCUGCGUCGGGAACGGCAAACCCUAGCGGGGCGAGGCGAGGCGAGUCGGCGGCGCGAAAGGUCGAGCCGUGGGGGGCGGAGGUGGAGCGUGACACGGGAUGGGGGGGGGGGGGGAGGGGGGGCGUGAAGGGUUUAUAGCCAAACGGACAAACUGGUUUGGAAGGGGUUUUAGGGUGGCGUGGCUCUGGAACCUACCAUAUUUCACUGACGUGUGGGACCUAUAAGCUGGUUUCCAUCGGCCGCCCACGUCGGAGAGGGGUAGUUCCGAGCUCGGGUGGGUUACCAUACGAUUGACGCUUUCUUUCCUUCCUGGGUCGGGUCACGCUUGCAAAACCCAGCGCGGGCCGCGAGUGUUAAUUUUGGGCCCAUUGGCUUUCCUAGUGUGCUGAGGCCUGGCCCAUGUAGGCCCGUUGAACAUUUGCACCAGCCCAUUAGUGCGGGUAACAGGGGUGGGCCCCCAGGGGAAGACAGGGAUGCACAUGCACACGACCUUGGGAGCUCUGCCUCUCUCGCGGUCUCGCCAUGGAUCCACGCCUCCACCCCUGUUUUGCCGCUGCGACCGCCGAUGGCCUCGCCGUGCCACCCCCACUGCGGGAGUGCGGGGCACCCUCCAUCGGCCUUCCCACCUCGCAGCGGAGGAGGUUGGAGGCGAGAUGUUCUCUGGGAUUGCGAUUAUCUCUAGGUGACCUGGCAAUGGCCUGCCGACCGCGUGCUCGACGAAAUGCGCGCGCGCGCUGGGCGGCGGAUAGAGCCUGGUCGUACGUGCUGCACCAUGGCCUGGUCAGCGUGACAGCGCCCCGCAUGUUGGGCGCGCGUGCCAGCCGGUGGCGUCGUCCACCAUAGGUGAUGGCUCCUGUUGCAUCUGACCCGCCGAUGGGACGCUGGUAACUUAUUCCUUGCGCUGACAUGGCGGCGCCGGCAUUCCAUGUGCGGUGCCGAGAGGAUUCCUCCCAAGCUCAGGACCGUUCGUCCUUCGCGAUGACGAAAACUAAUCGCACGCGAGGCUGUAGCAGUCCACUAGUAAGAGCCGAUAAAUCUCUGACGGUUGACACUUGACAGUGCCAUUGAAAUCUUAAACGGUGCUGACGCCUGACGCCAUUGAAAAUCAUGGUCAGGUUAGUCCGGGUGGUGGUCCAUUGCAAUCUUGGCCUAUUCACUGUGCGCACACAGUUUGGAAAAUGGCAAGCGUGCAUGCCGCAUGCUGGUCUGGACUCUGGAGUUGGAGGAUGGAGGUAUGCCUUGCUCUGUCACUAUCAGAAAAAUGCCUGCCCUUGUCAGUUCAAUUCAUCUCUCUGCUGCCAAUUUGCGUCCUGUGUCCACGUCUCUUGUCCUAGAUGAUCUGACACUGACUCUGCUACAGUUAUACCGUUGAGAAUCGUUUAUGCUGAACAGAAAAGUUGCUUGCGCAGACUAAAGACGACCCUCCACUGCAGUGCUGGAUGUUGCCUUUACACAGAUUACUAGUUCCGUUUACUUUGGGGAGACAGGGUAAUGGUAGGUUUUGUUGAUUGUCCUUGUGCAAAUCUCAAGUUAGAACUCUUACAGUUCUUUUAGUUAUAGCAAAAUAUUUUGGGCUACAGCUUUAGAACUCCAAGUGGGUGUCAUCACCACUCUGGCAGAGUGGCAGAAACAAUCUAAUUAUCUAAAAUAGUAUGAGAUGUUCGUGGAAUAUAAAAGCCAAAUGGCCCUUUGUACCUGAAACAGGUGUAGAUGGAGUUCAACUAUUGCUUCAUGAAAGAAACAGCAGCUUGUGUAAUCUGGAAUGCAGCAUGAUUCGGCCAAAAGAACAUGACAUGCGUCAGAAGAGUUUAUUAACUAUUAUAUAUAGAUUUCCUCACUUCUUCUAGCACUGAUGGCAGCAAGAUUAGUAUUGAGGAACAUUUAUAUUCCUUCUACAGUUUAGUCUUCAGCAAAAUAUAAAAGGUUACAUUUACUAGAGCCUAAGCUUCUUAACAUAAACAACUACUACCACAAAUACUCAGUUUACACUACUGAAAGAAAGCUGCCUCCGCAGCUUCCAUUGUCCAAAUUGCAUCUUCUCUGUAGCCCCACCAUCUAUGACCUCGUUGAUAAGGUUUUUGAAUAUGUCCUUUUCGAUUUCCAAAACCAUGUCAUGUAGUAUGGUGUCAAAGCUCAUCCAGUCUUUUGUGAUAUCCUCAUGUACUGGCAUGUUUUCAUUCUCAUCCUCUUCGGAGCAUUUUGUUAGCCUGUCAACCUCAGUGCACAAAUCCUUGAAUAGUUGCCACCCACUUAACUUCCUUGACUGAAGAAAUUUUACUGGCUGACUUCGAAAUCUGCAGAUGUUCAUCUUCUGUGCUAUGGUUUCGUUUACCAUGUCAAACACAAGUCUUCGGUGAAGCUUUCCUGUGCAAGGCUUAGAACAUUUCUUAGCUGCACUGACAGUUUGAAAUUCUGAAGCAAUGUCUGGUUUUGUUUGUUCAAGAAUGAGGAAGAGCUCCGGGUUGAUCAGAUUACUUGAUGGUCGGAGUUGACCAGGUAAUGCUGUGAAACUAAGUUCUUUAUGCAAAAGACCAGAUGCCAAUAGUAUCUCAUAGAUAUAGUGAUGAUCUUUAUUUGCAGCAACUGAUGCCAUGACUUCUUUGAUAUUUGCAGCUUCCUCGUUCAUUGAUUGCAGUUGCUCAAGCUUCUGGAUGAGGAACUCCAAGUUUUCUGGUUUAAUCUGGUUGACUUCACUGCUCGCCUUAGACUGUGGUGUGUCAGGCAGGCUGUUUGGGUUCCAGCACUCAUCCGAAGAAUGUGUCUCACCAUCUGAACAGGUAAUAAUGAUAUUUCAGAAAACAGUGCCCAAUAAUACGAAAAAUACAGAAUUUCACUGUCAGACAAAGCAUGUAUCAGACAGGAGAGACGAAAACACUGUCCACCUACAGAUCCAUCGAAUGAUGCACACUAGGUGUAUUUGUAGAGGGGGACAUUGGUGGGGCACAUCUACUCUAGCAUGUAUGCACACCAAAAGACACAUAUCGUGCUCCUGCAUAAGCAGUGCUGCGUGUGGGGUUGCAGCCAUGCACUGUUGAGCACAUCUAGCUGCUGUGGUUCCUCCUAAUUGCAGGACCACAAGCUAUCUGGUAGCUUUUAUUACAGAUUAUCUGUCACUAGCGUUAUCAGCACACUGACAGCUAGCUAUGCUUGUCCUUUGAGUAACACUAUGGGCUUCUGAAUUGAAUAAGACCAAACAGUAGGAUCUAUCAUGCUGGUGUUCUUGCAGGAAACAGCAGGUUAAUGAUGGUAAACGAAGAAACCUACUUCUUACCUUUGAAUGAAUCUGAAAUCCUUUUAUGAUAGAAGGAUGUGUCGAGGACAGAGACAGGGCUCGGGAUGUUGUCCAGUGAAUGAAUAUUUUGGUCUGAACCCAGAAUUGAAGGACCCUGAAAGAGGAUAGAGAGGAAUUAUUCGCUAGUAAGUAUCUUGGUGAUAAACAAUGAAUACAAAUUACAUGAAAGUUGUAGAACUAUAUGGUUUCUUGAUAUAUACAUUUUUCCCUUUAUCUGUACCUUGUGACUUGAUGUUGUGGCAACUUUGCAUGGUUGAACAAAUGAUGAGCUGACACCUGGGGGCUUUGGACAAUCCAUGAUACUGACAUCAACUUGCUUUGCUAAGCUGAUUCUGCUCCCUGCACUCGGCAAUACCUCAUCACGGUGGCUUUUCACCUGAGAAGGCUUUGAUCUUAUUCGUCCUUUUGGGGAAACAGCUUCAUUGGACUUCUUGCUUGGAGAUUUUGGUGAGACCGGCGGACGAGACCUCCUUUCGGACUCUGCUUUCUUUUGCACAUUUCUGGGGCUUGAUGAACCUGUAGGCCUCGGUGAGCUGGCACUGCUGACAGGUUCUUCUGACUUCGAUUGAGCUCUGGACAUCCGAAGAUGAAUCUUGUCAUCCGUGCCAUUGAAAGAUGAAUCUCUGACCGGCAACUUCCUCAGGCUUCUGAGGCCUGCAAUUGGAGCAACUGAAGCAAGUGAAACCCCAGGCUUCUUGGUGGUUCUUGCAGGCUUCAUAACCACAAUUGGAGGCUGGAAGUCUCUGGGCUCGGUGGCUUGAUCAUACCCUGUCCUCUGAACAGCCACUGAUCCAGCAUUGCUGUCAUUCUGGCUCUUAGAAUCUUUUGCAUUCAAUGCCCCCAAUAUUCUGAGAGCCCUGAAGUCCUUGUUAUUACACUCUAAGAAGUCGAGGCCCCCGAGCCUUCUUUCUAUGUCAGCAUAGACAGAUGCAGUCCUUGGCCUCCCUUCAGCUUCUCGACAUUGUUGUGCUUUUAUGUUGUUGGCACUUCUCUCCUGCUGCCUCCAAGGAGCCGCUUCUGUGAGAAUUCUUGGGGAAGGCUUGGUUCUGAGUACCCAAGACUCAUUCUUCAGCUGUAACAUGCAGGAAUCCUGGCAAGUGCUUCUGGGCGAACGUGAUGGAUUCUCAUAUUGAGUGGCUUGUGCAGGUCUCGGUGAUCUUGAAGUCUCAUGGUUAUCAGCAGUCAGCACCCCUGUAGCAUCUGUUGCUUCUUCCAACCCCAUUAGCUUGGCAAUGACACUGUUGGCUCUCCUAUGGCUUGGAGAAUCUUGAGGCCUCAAAGUAUCCAAGAGAAUAUCAUCAGUUCUCUUGUAACUGAAGUUAUUCUGGCGUGAGCUUGGACUCAGAGACUCCUUCCUACUGUCCAAGGACAAUCUAGGGAGCUCUUUGGGCCUUGAAGAAGGCCUCUUGCUUUCCUGGGUUUCGGCUGGCCGCAGGAGUCUUCGGUCAUCACAUGAGAAGCGUGAUUGCUCCUGCAAACGCCUGUUAGAUUCAGUGACAGUUGCAGGAACCUUUGUGCUCCUAUCGAUCCCAAUAAUACAGGUUCCAUCCAUUGAUUUGGACAGCAGCAGCGGCCUUGGUGAGUCCUUGUACUGCCCAUUUCUCCGUGCCUCCUGUACCGAGGUUUUUACAGUUAGGCCUCCGGAUUCCCGGUUGAUGGAGUCCUUCACUAUAUCUCUGAAACCGACAUUAGGAUGCCCGGGCUUGGUGUUCAUGUCAGUUUCCUUCAAACUUGGUGAUCUCUUCAGUGACCUCUGCACAAAGAGCUCCUCAUUGAUGUAAGGAAGCUCCUGUUGGACUGAUUUGUUGCCAUCAAGCGACGAGAAGGAUGAGCAUGAAGAGGAGGACGAAGAAGCUCUUGAUGAUUCGAUUGAAAGACUGCUGUUCUCAGUCGUACAUUUGCUGAAUGUUUUCUCCUGCAUAAGCAACUGAUAGGUUAGUGCCAGAUUCUUUAUGCAUUCAUAAUAUACUUCUGAUAGAUGUGUAAAAUGGUUUCCCUGACCAAAAAAACGGAAAAAAAGUUUUGAGUCCAACCAGGUAGGAAUAUUACCAGAACGAUCUUUGAAGUACUUGAACUUUGAACUGGGACAUUCCUGCUGCUCUUUGGAACAGUAUUGUCUGGACAACAUAAGGAGGUAUUAGAAUAAAAUAUCUAAACAGAGAAAAUAGAGCAAUUUAUUACGCCAUGCUGGUAAUGCAAAACGCUGAUAGUUAAGUUGACGAAAUAUUUACUGAAAUGCAUUAAUACAUUAUUGGAAUUAUUGCAAUCAAGUGUUGAGCUGUCCUCUUCAGCUAAUCUGUCAUUUAGAAGGUUUGUUUUCUAAAACUAAAUGUUAAGCUGUCCUCUUCAGAUAAUCUGUCAUUACUAGAAUCUAGAAAGAUUAGUUUUUUUGUAAAAAACCUAAUGUUAAGCUGUCCUCUUCAGUAUGGUUAUAUAAAUGAAAUUUAUAAUACACUGUUCCGCUGUCCUCUUCAGUCAGCGUGAAUAGUUAACCUUGUGCUCUUUCCGGCUCUGGGGGUACCCAAAUCCUCAUCAUUUGAUGUCGCUACGUCGAUGCGGUGCUCAUCUAGUGCUAAAAGUGUCCGUGUGCUGUCAUUAGUGCAUUCUUAAGUAAAUGCUUUUAUGAUCACAAUUACUACGGUCAACCACUGCUGUAGUACACAUGUUCUCCUUACAGCAUGUAACUUGCACAAGAAACCUCCUAGUCUCUCGUCAGUAAAAGAAGGUACCGUAUACAAAAUUUGGAUUAUGGUACCAACAUGGCAAUUUCUUUUGCAACAUUCACUUUACAGGAAGUUGGUUCGCCCAUGCUGCAAGGCAACCGGUUUUUAUACUCCUGAGCAGUUUUACCAAACAAGGUAUUUUGUUUUUUAUAAUCCGUCCGGUGUUCUUAGCUGAACCCUCCAACUGUCGAUCUUACCAAACUUUUUGAAUAAUAACAUGGAAACGCACUUUAGGUUUCAACGCACACAAGUAGCAUGUUUUUUUUAGUCAAAAAACUCCUAACUUUCUUAUCUCAAGUCAACACACCAGAAUGAGUUGUACUAGCUAAAUAUCGUCGUGAAGGUGAGUUAAAACUGGAUCAGUUCUUGGAAGCAAAACACAACGGCAAAGUACGACGACGACGAAGAAGAAGAAGAAGAAGAAGAUGAUUUCGCAAAAACUUGAACAGAGCAGAGCAGAACGAUGCAGAGAGCAGUAAGCAGCCCAGGAGGAAGCCAUUACCUGGAGCUGACGGCGGAGGCAGCCUCUUCUGCGCCUGCCGGCCGCCGCGCCGGCCACUCCCGGUGAUGAGCCGUUGGCGGUCGAAGAUCUGGAAUAUGCCGGACAUGCACCCCAUUUGCCGGUCGAGCUCCCGCGCGUCGUCGGCGAAGGCCGCGGCGCCGCGCAUCCUCACCGGCAUCGUCCGUGCUCCUCCAAGCUUUCCUCGUUCUCAGCCCCCGAUCAGGCGCCGGAGCAAGGUGGCCGCCCAAGGCGAUCACCAGCUCGCAUUCAGGGGCGCUACAGCUACUGAUGGUCAGGCCGCAGCGCACCACCGCCACCAGAGAAGCUUCCGAAGCAGAGGGGGGAGCCAGUCACGGCGCAAGCAAAGCUGCGAGAAGCAGCGUGCACACGCAGAUGCAGGGGCAGAUAUAGAAGCUGGAGUCUCUUCUUUUCCCUUUGGGAUGGGCGAGUUCAGAGGAAUGUUAUCAUUGCGGCGCCAUGCAGGCUCUCUUCGUGAGGAGAGAAGGAGAGGGAGACGGGGGGAGAGGCCCGUGGAUUAAGNNNNNNNNNNNNNNNNNNNNNNNNNNNNNNNNNNNNNNNNNNNNNNNNNNNNNNNNNNNNNNNNNNNNNNNNNNNNNNNNNNNNNNNNNNNNNNNNNNNNNNNNNNNNNNNNNNNNNNNNNNNNNNNNNNNNNNNNNNNNNNNNNNNNNNNNNNNNNNNNNNNNNNNNNNNNNNNNNNNNNNNNNNNNNNNNNNNNNNNNNNNNNNNNNNNNNNNNNNNNNNNNNNNNNNNNNNNNNNNNNNNNNNNNNNNNNNNNNNNNNNNNNNNNNNNNNNNNNNNNNNNNNNNNNNNNNNNNNNNNNNNNNNNNNNNNNNNNNNNNNNNNNNNNNNNNNNNNNNNNNNNNNNNNNNNNNNNNNNNNNNNNNNNNNNNNNNNNNNNNNNNNNNNNNNNNNNNNNNNNNNNNNNNNNNNNNNNNNNNNNNNNNNNNNNNNNNNNNNNNNNNNNNNNNNNNNNNNNNNNNNNNNNNNNNNNNNNNNNNNNNNNNNNNNNNNNNNNNNNNNNNNNNNNNNNNNNNNNNNNNNNNNNCGCUGCUGUUGCCGUGGCAUUGGUAGGCCGCCUCGGCCCGGCGGUCGGCGGAUCACCGGUUAGCUGGCGCCUGGCGAUCGGCCGCGCCGCGCUGUGCCGCGCGCGUUACUGCGAUCGGGGGAGGUUGUGCACGGUGUGCCACAUACACAUGCCAUCCGGCCCCUGGGAGUGGAGGUAAGCGUCGCGUAUCCAUGUCCCCGCCGGCCCCGGUCGUCGGCAUCGUCGCCACCCUUUUGCCAGGGUGACGAGGGGAACAGCAGUCCAUGCCGGGGCCCCAGGUGUGGUACGCGUAUACAUCCAGCAUCCCAUCGUCCAUCAUGCCGCUGCCGCUCGUACCUGAGAUCUUGAGAAUACGAUAGCCGAUGCCCGAUAGGUUGUCAUGUAUGGUCUCCUCCUCCUCGUAUGCAUGUGGAUAAAAACAUAUACGUACGGGUACUCACUGUUCAUCAUUGCGCUCGGUCGACGUAUCGCAUCGUAUCCUCUGGUCGUAUGCGUCCGUCUCCGAAUGUCUGUCUGUAUGGGAGAUGGCGCGAGCGAGUGGACCUGGUAACUCGUUCAAACCGUUAUGCCACGACCGGGAGCGCGGGAAACCCCUGCAUCUCAGGCAGCAUCUCCAUACGCCAUGGAGGCAUGGACUGAUGGAGUCACGCGUCGUGCAGGGGCGCUUGCUCUCCCGCGCACUCUGAGCGCGUGACACCAGUUACGGCUCGGCUCUCUGAACCUGUGAUCUCUUUUACUGACGGCGCUUGCGACCUCGAUCGGUAAAAAUUCAGGUGCUCCAUCUGCUAUUCCGGACGAAAAGGAAACGGAGAUGUUCGAAUUUGUCCGAAUGGAGAACGGAUCUGGGGACUUUUUUUUUUGGGCUGCGAAGGGGUGUUUGGACAGGGCAAUUAUGAUGCACAGCUACGUGUAACAUGCACGGCCACUGGACUUUAGUGCGCUUUAAGGAAAAAGGCCGCCGGGUGACACCUUACACACGAGCAGGUGUGCCAUUAACACGUCGUUAAGCCUCUCUCAAGAAAGGUUUACUACUACUCAAGAUCGCAAUCGCAACAGUACUAGGUUUUGAGCGGCCGUCAGUACCAUCAACACGCUGCUAAAAGUGCUACACCUUGUACUAAUGCGGGGAUGGUCGGUUAACCAACACUCACCAGUCGGAUCUUCUGGCUGACCUCUGGUGAUGCAAACAGAUAUCUGAUGCUGAGAAAGCAUAUCCUAUCAUGGUGAAGCACACAGCGCACACACUCGUUCCGAUGAACUCCUCUUUGCAUCGAUAAUCGUUUGUUUUUAUUGUGGUUGUUAAUCCUUAUGCAUCGGCUUCCGGUUCCGCAUCUAGCGAGUCGUCCUGAGCUCAGCUCACAUGGCGAGCGCGUGGUUAACAGUAAACAAGCCUGAGCCCCAAUCGGAGGAACCCCUCUCGUGACAUCACGUUGCAAGUCUGAGCCCGAUCAGUCAUGCCGCUGAUGUGCCUGGUGGUAGUAGUAAAAACCGCUCUGCACCAAUCGAGGUGCGCGGGAUGGCUGCGACUGUGAGCACUCCCAUGGCUGGCGCGCGCCAUGGCGGUGCAGUAUAGCGGUGGUCCACGUCCACGGCGCCGCUCGUCACAAGUCCCGACGCCGAGCUCGUAGAUGCGGGCGCGGGACGGCGGGAGGCAGGGGAGCGAGGACGCCGAGGGGAUCGGGGGGGAACCGGGAAGGCGGGGGGGGGGGGGGGGGGGGAAGAGCCCUCUCUUGCUAGAUGUGGUAGAAUCACAGUUUGAUUAAUCUUGCAUCGGCUGAUAUCUAUUUAAUCUAUCAUCUUGUCGUCUGGCUUGCUUUGAUUAUCUCUAGAUUAUAUCAUCAUAGACGAUAGAUUACUUAAUGACGGGAUUUUCCUAGUCUGCGUNNNNNNNNNNNNNNNNNNNNNNNNNNNNNNNNNNNNNNNNNNNNNNNNNNNNNNNNNNNNNNNNNNNNNNNNNNNNNNNNNNNNNNNNNNNNNNNNNNNNUCAUGUUUCAGCUAGUUGCAUGCGUUAACCAUGGUUGGGUGUUUGGUUAUUGGAUGAGUACGCUAGCUGCUAGCAACUGAGCUGCCGGGGCCUGUCACUUGAUAAGAUUGGCUCUCGCUCGAUCGUCCUGUUCGGCGGCACCAACACUGUGGCAUGAUGCUUAGGGUUGAGGGGUGAUUGGUUCAAGGACUGAGUUUAGUUUUUGUCAUAUCGAAUGUUUGAUAUUAAUUAGAAGUAUUAAAUAUAGAAUAAUUACAAAAUCAAUUGCAUAAAUAAAGGUUAAUUCGCGAGACGGAUCUAUUAAGCCUAAUUAGUCCAUGAUUUGACCAUGUGAUGCUACAGUAAAUAUGUGUUAAUCAUGAAUUAAUUAGGUUUAAUUGAUUUAUCUCACGAAUUAGCCUUCAUUUAUGCAAUUAGUUUUAUAAUUAAUCUAUAUUUAAUACUUCUUAACAUCUAAAUAUUCGAUAGGGACUAAACUUCUCAAUUUCAUUACUGUAUCUUCAUCACGUGGCCUCAAUUUCUCAAUUGUAUCUUUGUUAUUCCAAUAUGUUUCAAUUGCUUCGUAAAUAUGGGCAGAUGCAAUUAAUUUGUCUCAAUUACUUUGAUGUCAAGCAUAUUUGCAGCCACCUAAGUGGUGCAGGGGGCUCCACAUUAAAGUUAACAACAUAUUAAUUAUUUUUAUCAAUUUCUUCAUAAAUCUCGUAGGUUUGUGAUGUGUUUGCCAGCUUGUCAAACAACACAUUAGUUAUGUAAAAUUUACUAUAGAAACUAAAAACGUUUUACAUAAAUUCUUUUUUUCUUAUGCCCAAUUGAUUGAAAUUCAGGUUUCCCUCAUCGAAACAAAAGACACUGUUUGAAGCAGUUUAAGACAGAUAAAUGAAUAGUGAUCUUAAGUUGUGUAUAUGAAUGGUAUAUGGCAUAUGUCUACUUGCCCCCUUUGAUUCCUGGCUCCGCCCCUGGACGCAGAUGCAGUGAGUUAACCACGCUGAUACUCUGCUGCUGCCUGCUGGUGGUGGUCUGGUCUGGUGGUACUGUAACUUUCUGCAGGCGGGCAGCAGCGAGCAACUCGAACUCUGCUGCGGCUGGCGGAGAGUGGCGUUAACUGGAAGCGAACAAGAAGGCAAGCCGGAGAGAGAGACAGGCGCAUUGAGGCGGGGUGGGGCGGGGACGGGGAGGGGCCCCGGGGACCAGUGCGGGUGGAUCUUGGGGCAUGGCUGCCGAGUGCUGGCGACCUGCGUGGGCUGGAGGAACUGGACCCCCGCGCCUGUUUGCCCUCCCGCCAUCAUCAUGCUCCAUUCCUCGUUCCUUAUCCCUGGCUAAAUCAUCCAUCCAUGGAAAUCAAGGUCAAGUGCUGGUUUCUCAAAAUUUCCAGAGUCUUGCUCAUCACUACCAUGAUAGGUAAAAAGUGAAAAACGUGCAUUGCAUGAACAUGAACAUCUUGCCGACGAGACGACGACUGUUUCGUUUUUGUUUUUGUGGGGCAAAAGGACUGGAUUUUUCCGGCGGCGAAAUCCGGAGAGGCUCGUGAGUGAAUGCUGCAGCGAUGGUUAGGUUAGGUGGAAGGAUCGGUCGCUGCGAAUUGAAGGGAGUUCGUUAGGUUUUCCCGCCAGUUACAGUCGCCGCCCCGGUUCGUACGUGCGGCGCCAGGGGAUCGUUGCCUCUUCAUUUCCUUUGCCGCCAACGUUUCCUUCCCUCCAAAUGUCACAAAAUUCAGGACCCUGCAGCCUACGUACAACAGCGGUGAAUCACGAAAGGACACGGCAGGUGUUCCUGGACAUUUACUCCGGUCGUAGUGUGGGCGUCUUCCAAGCAUCCCUUGUCAUGGAUAAACUGAUGCUAGCAUAGGACUACAAGUAUUCUCUCAUGGAGAGAAGCACUGUUGGUUGGAGUGGUGACGGUAUAGUGAGUGCAUGCUGGUUCCCUCCAUUGGAGUUAAAAUCUUGGUGUUUCCGAGUAUGAUAGGUGCGUGAAUCUCUAGUUGCUGUAGAGGAUGAAAAUUACAGUUCAUCCAUUAACAAGAUAUUUUUUAUGGGGAAUCAAAUCAUUCAUUAGAAAAUUGACUACAUGUUUUCUUUCCUUUGUCCUCUUUGCAAAGGGGACUACAUAAAAAGAAAUAUGAAAAGUAAUAAUUAAGAAAUUGUGUCCUCUGUAUUGCAGUUGCAGGCUUGCAGCCGCACAUAACACAUUAGAGUAAUAAUGCAAAUCCUAAAGAAUAAGUGGUGAUGGAACGGAUCGAACAGCAGGUACAUCGGACCAGGAUACGACGUCUACAUGGUAUGACAAGAGCACCGUACCACACUUGGGUACAGCAUCCCACAGGCGCUCGUGCUAAGCCCAUCCGCUAAUCCCCGUCAACGGCGACAGGUACACGAAUCGUGUGACAAAGAGCACUGUACGUACCACACAAAGACGAUACAGCAGCCACAAUUGCUCGUGCUAAUCCCAUCCAGUAAUCCCCGUCAACGGCGACAGGUACACGAACCGCAUCAAGCUUAGCUCAGACCGAGAGAUCGAGCUCAUCCUCAGCCUCCCUCUCGUCGUCGCGUGCAUUACUCCAUACAAUGAAAACGAACUGGACGCGCCAACAAAAGCGACGCGUGUACAGUGGACUCGACCGGCACCAGUCCUUGCCACUCAUGGGCAAUUUGGCACUCUGAACCCAGCAUUACUUGUCCAGUGAAUUAUUUCCCAGGGACGUGCCAGUGAAAAUAAGCAGGUUAGGUUUAAGUGAGAGUGAGACGACUCACUCACCGUAAUCACAACCAAUCCAUGGCACAAGAAAGUUGACACAAAACUUCUCUUUUGAAGCUUUGCAGGCCUGUAAUGGCAGUUUUACCCACGGGUACGGGUACCCGCGGGUCCUACCCAGAUGGGUAAAGAUACAGGUAUGGAAGUUUACCCACAGGGGUAAGGGUACGGGUAUGUAAUUCUACCCGCGGGUAAAGGUAUAGGUAUGAAAUUCUACCUGUGGGUACCCAACAGGUACCCGGAUUAAGGUACUCGGAUUAAAAAAGUCCGUACAAACAUUUGGCCCAAGCCUAUACAAACCCUAGCACACCACCCGUUACCAAGUCCUAAUCUUAUCCUCGUGCCUUGUUCCUCACUUCCCAUCCUCAUGCCUCGUUCCUCGCUUCCCCAGCCACCGCCAGUCCUCCAAUCCCCCGCCCGUCUCCUGCGGUCCUGCCUCCACCCCCGAGGGCCGCGGUUGCUGCCUUACUGGACAACAUUUGAUCUUAUGUUAUAAUUUCUUAUUUGGCUUGUGUGCCAACUUGGGACUUAUGCACAUGUGACAAUUUGAAAGUAGAGAAUUUGAGACUUAUUUAUGUCAAUAUGUUUGUGAUCGUGAAGCAAAUUAUUGUUGUACUCUUGGAUAUGAACUCAUUGAUAUGUUUGUGUUCAAUACCCGUCGGGUACGGGCACGGGUAAGGAUUUUUACAUGUUAUGUUUGGCGGGUAAUAUAAUAGAGAUAGACGGGUAAAUGCUUUACCUCUACCCUACCCUACCCGUUGCUAUCCCUAGUAGCCAAUAUACCAGUAGCCAGUGCCCAGCAGGUAGCUAGCGUUGCUCAUCAGCGACCGGACACGAGUUAGAUGUGCACGCAGCUUUUCAGCCUCCUCUGCAUGCCGUUGGAGCAGUCCUUUGUUGUCAAGUGUCAAGUGUGUAAACCGGGCGAGCUAGCGGCCAAGCAGCAGCUAGCAGGGGCAACCAGCGGCGAGCACGCACCGAACAGGCCGAGGGCGACGCGCAACGCAGGCACGCAGUGCGCUGCAUCCUGGCGGUAUUGGGGCACCCGCCGGCAGGCGCAAUCAAUGGAAGCCUCCCGCCGUGUCUGCGUCUCCGGCGCCGGGUCGCUGUCCGCGCCGCGGGCAGGGUCGCUGCCGCCGCAGCUGGGCGGCCGGAGCCUUGCCCCCCGCGACCCGCUGCCCGCGACGCGCACACGCCGCGUCGCUUGCGCGCACGCCGUGCCAUGCCGGCCGCGGCUCGGCUGCAUUCCCACACGCAGGCACUGAGGCACGUCGCUGUAGUCGCGGUCAGUUUCUGCUCUGAUGCGGCGAACGUGAGAACUGGUAAAAGCAACGUGCGCGCGUGCAGGGGUGCAGGAGCAGAGCAUGGUGGGGGUUGGCUGGCUACUGGCUGCUGCAGGGUGCAGGGUGGCCUAGCUACCGAGUAGAAUAGCUGAGGUCUUUGUGUAAUUGCGUGUGUAGUGUACUACGCGUGAUGGCUUGGGAGUGUGGGAAAAGAGACACUAGGUUUUAGGGUUCUGGAAGGAUGUGCAAAGUGAAAGCAUGGAAAUGAUCUUGGGCUUAACGUAUCAUUCUAAGAUUAGGAGUGACGUAUCAUUGCAUUUUUCUCAAAAGAAAUGAGAGACGAAACGAAACGAUCGAAGCGAAAACAAGACACUGUCGCUCACGCCACAUCUCCUGCUACUUCCUAGUCUACAACUCUAGACGCCAACCAAUUCUUCUGACUUUCAGAGUAAACACAAGUGUCACCGAACCAACCAGUAAUACAAAUUACAAAAGAACUCCUAAUGUACGACAGAAUUCUUUAGCACGGGAUUCUCUCUGAUCUCUGACAGAGAUUAAGAAGGGAUAGUUAUCUUGCCGCUGUCAGUAGUAGGUGUGCCGACACUUACCAGCACGGGCCUGCUGAGGUAAGCAGCCAGCACCUGCCAUUGCAAGCCACUGCAACGAACAAACCUGCUACAAAAUAUAUGGAGUACCAUCUCUUUUCAGGUACAACUUGGCAGGAUCCUGCUGACGACACUCUGUUUUUUCUUGUAAGUUGUAAAAGAAUAAUGGGAGAGAAUCUUGCAGGUGACAAGGAUAACAGAGGAGCUAGCCAUAGAUCACUCAACACCUGGAGAAAAUAAUUGUGAAAAGAAAAUGUUUUUUUUGAAGAGUGAAAAGAAAAUGUUUGAUUGGUUUAUCCUGCCCAGGCAUUAUUGUUGCCACGGCAUAUUCUGUCAUCUGAGGUCAAGAUCUGUCGAUGAAACAUUGCCGGGCUGUGCUUCUUGGAUCGAUGAGACGACGACGACGCUAUGCAUCAUUGCAUCGUGCAUGUUCAUCCGCCGUGCGCAUUUCGAUGAUGCAAUUGGCAGGGAGCUGUGGGUUAUCGUGCAGUUUGCAUCUCGGUCACAUGAUACCUCAUGUGGUGCUAGCUCGGUACAGCCGUGUAUAUUCUUUUUUUUCUUUCUUUCGUCAAGAAAUAUAGUUUUGUUUUCUUGGGAAGGCUGGAAAUGGCCGGGGAAUAUUAAUAAUUGGCAACACAUGCGCACAGCACGUACGUACCUGGAGAAAAGACUUUGAAUCAUUCCGAAUGAUGAAAAGGAUAUCCAGUUAGUUUAGGAUUUUCUUUUUGUUCAGUUAGUUAGUUAAUGGCUGUUUCUUGUACAAUUGUACUCUGCUUGUACGUAUUAUUGUAUUAUUGGGCAUGAGUAGCUAGCCAUGGGACAGUCCAAAAAGGUCCCAAACUAGAGCAGGCUGUGCGCCAGCCGUACAUGCGCGCAAGAUUUGCCAUUAUACGAGAUUCGGAAUCGGAGUAGUUAAAAUGAUUAAAUGGGACAAGGAAGCACACCGUGCACCUUCUUCCUCAAUGCAAGGAGGAGAGCGGAGCAGUAGAUUGAGAAGGUUGUAUUUGUAUGUGUGGAGCACAUCCUUGUUUCAAUACUGGUUCAGACUUCAGAGUAGUAGACAUGUUGAGGAUAGAAGAAGAAGAAACAUGGUCUCACACAUGGAGCUACCAUUUCAAACUACGGGGUGUUUGGAUACGAGGUACUAAACUUUAACAGUGUCACAUCGGAUGUUCGGAUGCUAAUUAAGAGAAUUAAAUAUGAGCUAAUUAUAAAACUAGUUGCAGAACCCUGUGCUAGUUCGCGAGACGAAUCUAUUAAACCUAAUUAGUUCAUAAUUUGACAAUGCGGUGCUACAGUAACCACUUGCUAUGUAGCACCACAUUGUCAGAUCAUGGACUAAUUAGGCUUAAUAGAUUCAUCUCGCGAAUUACAUUCCAUCUGUGCAAUUAGUUUUAUAAUUAACUUAUAUUUAAUACUCCUAAUUAGUAUCCAAACAUCCGAUGUGACGACUUUAACAGCCCUCGAGUCAAACAGCCCCUACAAAAAGCUACGAUUAGUUUGUCGAAGGGUUCAAAUCCUAGUGACCAGCGCUCAGUCUCAGCAUGGUGCCUACGUGCACGACGUAUUAAGGGGGUGUUUGGAUAUACCCUCCUAAACUAUGGUACCUGUCACAUCGGAUAUUUAGAUACUGCAGUUAGUUUUAUAAUUAACUUAUGUUUAAUCCUUGUAGUUAGCAUCCCAUAUUCGAUAGGACCCUUCUAAAAUUUAGUAUCCCGUAUCAAACACCCCUAGCUUAGCGACGGCAGCAUGGAUGGCCCCUACAGACGGCCGGGUCCCCGACCGGCCGGUGAGAGCCGACGGCAGCAAGUCUGCAAGUGGCUGGGUGGUGGUGGAUAAGGAGGAGGCGACAGCGUGGCUCAGGCCAGCAAGGGUGGAGCAGGCACCCCACGUGCGCGGGGCGGAGGCCGGCGUGGCGUGCGCGCCACAUGGCCUGUGCGUGUGCGCCACCAUGGCCUGCAGCGCCGCGGACGCAGCCGCAUGCAGAAUCCCUAUCCUCUUGGACUGGACGUGCGCCUCUUUCCUCGGCGCACGGAGCCCCGGCCGCCCUGCCCUGCCCUGCCCUGCAGGAUUCUCUGCACGACCUCGCCCCCGCCCCCUGCUUCGUCAGAGCCGCACGAGCUCCCUGUCCACGGCAAGAUAACAGCCAGGCAGGCAGGCAGGCCACACAAUGACACAACCCCCCUGACACAGUCAUUUCUCGGCGCUAUGUUGCUGGGCGCGACGACGGUUGUUCAGAUUUUUUUUUUGAAACAUUCGGUUGUUCAGAUUUGAUCCAGUCAUUCAGAACGUGCCAACUUGGCAUGAGUAGAGUACGUUCUCGCAGGAACUGUACGUAUUCUUUCUGAAGCAACUGUACUGUACACGACGGCGUAGUUUUGUUCGUACUUUGUACGAAAUCCAUUGGCUCUACCCAGCGUCGCUGCACGCAUGAUUGAGCUUCUCAUCCAGCGCGAGACGGCGAGAGCGUUGCAUUAUUCAGACGCCAACCUGUGAUAAUCAUUGACCACCAGAGAAGAGAGAACCUAGUAUGCGAUGAUACUUGCACACACACGGGCGCGCAAGUGCCGGGACAGGAACAGGACACGGCAAGGUGCGGAUCGCUCGGAGCUACUAGCUAGCGGGCGGCACAUGCCAUGCCGUGCGUCGCCGGUCGGCAGGCUACUUCCUGCGUGGCUUCAUCGGCUGAUCGGGCAACCACGUGGCCCGGCCGGCCACUAACGCCUUCGUUUGGUACCGAUCGGUCCCGGCCCCCGAGAGCACGACGGCUCAAUGAUUCGCGCGCAUGGGUUGCAUGCUCUCGGUAGAUCAUAGAAUGCUUACCAGUUGCCAUCAUCGGUCUCAUGAUCAUCCGACGACCACCCCGACGUCGUCGCUGUAAGUGCUGCCGCUGUGCCUAGCCUACCUAGCAGGCUGCGUGGGGUGAUGUUCUGAUGUGGCUGUGUGCGGUAGCUAAUUCGGCGUGCAUGUGAGAUGGGUGCAGCUCGUUCAGGACGGUUGCCGGCCGGGGUGGACUGAACCGAUGGAUGCAUGCAAUGUGUGUGGACUGUGGUUAGUUGGGCCACGGGGUCGUCUUUCCCUUCAGAUUACUGUGGCGGAAUGGCUGGUGUCGCGUGUCGCCCACUGGUCACACUUUGUUCAGUUGCUCGGAUGGAGAUCGAUCGAGUUGAGGACAGUUGGUUUGGUUGGUGCUUCAUUUGCUUUGGUCUUCCCCCCUGCCUCUUGCUGAACUGCUGAAUACGGUGUUGAUAGAUGAACUGAUCUCAGAAUUGUCGACACUACUUGAAGACUGAGUUAGUUCACCCCUUACCCUGUCACCAAGUGGCUCGCUCAACUUACAUGUUUAUUACGCGUCAUCAACAGCAAAAACACGGGAAUGAUUUGACAAGAAUCUACGCAGAACGCUGCUAAAAGUUGCUAGUGUUUCGUGUGAAAUUUCCAUGUGAACAUGCAGAGACAUCCACUCUGCGGUCUACGCCCUGCCGUCUAGACAGCUAAGCUAGCCUGCCGAAAGAAAUACGUACUGGGAAGAACAGUUCGCAACAGGCCGUACACAAACGUGCGAGCACGACACGGUUCGGCCGGGACAUGAUUGGAACAGCCAUCACGUCAAGGGCCGACGGGACACCAAAGCUGAGCCCCAAAAACAUGCCUGUGCCGAUGCCGGUACACCUAGAGCUCGUACACCGCCUUUUGCCUCAUCAGGGGCGUACGUCCCCUACACAGCUAGCCGGUACAGACUCCAGGCAGGAGGGGCCUCUGGCCCAGAAGCACGGAAGGGGAUGAAUGGCGGGCCCCACACGCCAUGAGAGACAUGAGCGCGUACGUGACAAUCAGUGGCCUAAACCGGCAAGCCUAGCGAAGCACAGCUGGGGGAAUUAUUGGGCUGUUUUUGUUCUUGCGCUGCGACAGUGAGCGGUGAUCAUGGGUUCAUCAUGGUGUUCUUCUUCCUUGGUUCAUCAGGGUGUUCUUCUUCUUCCUUGGCUACAUUUUAACUGCAACGGCUUGUAAAAGUAAAACCAUGGUACGUUUUGCAGUUCAACACGAAACCUCGCAUUGGAUAGUUUUGUGUCAGUAAUUGGACGGCAAUCACGGCAGGAUCUUACGCAAUGGAGGCAUUUAUUGGGUGGUCAUUUGUUAAAACGAUGUGCAGUCAAUAGUGAAAGGAAGCCACAAGCCAGGUUGGAGAUUUGGACAUGCAUGUGUACUACGACGGUUUGGGGGUUAAGCUACCGACUUCAAAGUCAAGAUCGCCAUGAUUCUCUUCGGAUCUCUAUUGCACUACUUCUACUUCCUAAAGGUUCCAAGCCUUUUUUAUACGCAGUGAGGUAAACACGCGGACAAGCUGAGAUACUCUUGACGUGCCAGUCACAUGCUACCACAGUUAGCUAGCUGACUAACCUUGCCAUCAUGCAUGUUCUUUUUUCCAAAAAAAAACGUGGGAGUAUAAUUCUGAGGUUAAAUUAUGCUUGAGACUAGAACAUACACAUAGUUAGCGAGAUUGAAGAUAUUAUAUAGAUGAAAAACCGUUAAAGAGAUUGGAUAUAAAGUACUAGGUAACCUAUGUAUUAGUUUGCUAGAUCGGUUCAGAUUGGGAAUAAUUGAGAUCUGCCGUAAACUAAUCACGAACCGAUGGAUCGGAUCGACCAACGAACCUGCCUGCCUUUCUGAUCACUGUUUGUAUUGACCGUACUUGGCAGUUGGCAGCGAGCUGAGGGAGCACAUGCCUAUCAUGGAGCUAGGGCAGCCGCGCAUGUGUGCCUCGGAUUGACAAAUCAUGUGUGUGUUGGUUAAGCUAACUGGCUGAGCAAGCGCAUUAUUGUGGAGCAGUAUGCAGAUCGGGAAUUUAGUAAGCAAUGACUUGUGCGGAUGGGGCAUUACAUGUGUGUCAGUAAGCUAAGGUACAGUGCAAGAAGCAAGAGGCCACGGAUGUUCUUGCUCUUAAUUUGGUCUUUGCUAGCUGUUCUGUUUCUUUUUAAACGAAGCUGUUAUAUGUAAGAAAUUGGAUCUGAACGAAGAUGCAGAGAUGACCUGCACUGCAGGCACUGGAACGGAAAAAAAUGGUGAAAGAACAACUGAACAAGUUGAUGACUAGAAAUGGUGACUUAUAUCUGGGCCGACAAUGCAAGGAGCUUAAUGGACCGAGAGGCCUUGCAAUUCCAUUCCUGGGAAACCGCAUGUGGCCGGCCGGCCACUCCAAUAUCGUUUUCGUUUUGUUUGGUACAUACCUUGUCGGCGAGCUCGGCUUUGCCGGCCCGGAGACCACGACGGCGAGCUCAAUGAUUCGCGCGCGUGGGCUGUUACGUCCUCGACCGGCCGUCGCGCGAUGCCAUCGAUCUCUCACCUGACAAGCAACGCAACGUCGUCGUCGUCGCUGUGCGUGCUACGGCUGCGUGAUGUGCGAUGGUGUUGGUCUGCAGGAUGACAGAGGCACGGUACUCCGGUGGACGAUGGCGUCAAGUGGCCUGAGGGCGUAGCCAGGAUUUGAACAUACGGGAGGCCAGGAAAGCGAUACCGACAACAAUCGUACAUGAUGACAUAUACACAGUAUACUUAUAUGAACUUGGCCAGAGCAUAGAUAACAAGCAAUUAAAGCUGCGAAUUUGGCUAGAUCAUACAUAUGUUUGUUGAUAAGAAGAAAUUAAAGCUAGUUGUCAAUUAGUUAUCUUCGAAUUGAAUUAAACGUAUAUACACGGAUAAAACAAGAUAGUAUGUGUUUGCCAACACAAAACAUGUUACAUCUUUAACUUGUAUUUAGCUCGGGUUGGUUGCAUUCAUCGAGAUUAGAAAAUGAUCGAGCAGGACAGUGUUUCUUAACUAGAGUUCAAAUCUUUGGACUAUCAGAGGUGUGUGGAGUCUUGGACCAAAGGCACAAAGUGCUUGAAGAUCCGUAACUUGAUAGUUCUUCCAAUUCAAAUAGCUUUCGAUGGAUUGCGUAAUUUAAUUAGCCAUAGCCCCCACCUCAAUCUAAUUCUAAAGCAUAGUUGCAAUGGGAGAUUACAUCGUACGGAGGGAGCGUGGGGCAUAGGUUCAUGGAUUAGCAGCCUAGUGGGCUAGUGGCUAUUGGUGUUGCAUCUUUCACGGCCGCACCAGCGGACGGUGGCCUGGAGUCUGGAGAUCGGAGCACCACCUGAGAAGCAGCGGCACGAAUGAAAGGAGAGGAAGCGGAAGCAUCCGUCAACCAUCGGUAGCCUGGCAGCAGGCUGAGGACACGGACGGGUUCCUCUUCAGUUGAGCAAAGGCUUGUUCGCCCCCCUUGGCUCCGCCCCAGUGACGGAUGCGUGCGUCCAUGGGUAUCCUGGUUAGUUGUGCAUCUGUCAGAUCUGUGCAAGGGAGUCGUGUCCCUUCACUCUACUGUGGCAACUGGCCGGGGAGUGUUGUCGUGCAUGGCAGUGGCGUUCACUACCACGGGGCAGGAAGUUCCUGACGGCCGAAAACCGUCAGGAAAGGCCGGAAUCCACCGACAGGAGCAGCUAGAGAGAAAAAAGAGUCACUUCCUGACGGUUAGCCGACAGGAAACUGCUCCUGACGGUGGGCGUUCGACCUGUCAAUCCAUUCUCUUGUUACUGUAGCCGUGUUACUGUAGCCGUCAGGAACAGCCAGAGGAACGGCCUCUAGACAGGAAUUGGCACGUUUUCGAUGACGUGAAAGCCGACAGGCCAAAACGGUACAAACCGACAGGAUUUUGCAUUACACAUUUCUUGACGGCCUAAGCCGAAAGGAGUACAGGACAGAAGAAACUUCAUUUAAUAGAAUAUACUACCGAUGCAAUCCAUGAGCACACCACAAUGUAUUAUACACAUUCACUCAGAAGUCACAGUACAGAUUAAAUAGACAUGCCACUCAUCCCAAGUUCAGAUAUUCAUAUCAUCCAAAAUUAAAUGGCACUAACUUCACAGAUCACACAAAAGCCAUCCAAAUAUGUCUAACACGUCUUGCUAGCACUAGCUUACACACAGCAUUUCCAGUUCCAGCACUUGUUAGAGUUUACACAGAUCCAGCAUGUCCAGUUGGUGACUCGACUACGCAGCAUGUCCAGCACCUGACACAGCAGAAGGUCGAUCGACUAUACCAAAGCAGCAAGUGCAAUGCUAACAAAAGGAGAGACCUUUCCACUCUCUAAUUGUACCUAUCACCAUAUUUCACUCCAGGUUAAUGUUGUCUUCGUUGCCAUCCCUACUCUGAGAACCAGAAACUUCAUUUGCAACACGGGAUGACUCAGUAACCUACAAGGAAUAGAGUUAGUGACUCUUAAGACUGGAUGUUAAUAUCAGUGUAAUUUCACUAAGUAACAAAUAGUAAUUUGAAUGAAUGGUGAUAACAGCUGUAGUAGUACAAACUUCGCCUAAGAAGGUAUUUUUAUGCAAGCAGAAACAACAGCCUAGUCCAAUGUUUUGGAGAAUCUAAGCUAGCAUGAGGCAGCUUUUACUUCUCUACAAUGGAAAAAAUGGACCAGACAGACUAUAGAGAGCAUGACUGUUGAAAUAUGCAAUGCAUACUUGGAACAUUCUAGAAGAUUGUGGAAAUCUCAAGGACUAACUUUGCCAUGUAUAAGGAUAGGAUCAUGGCAAGGUAAGAAGAUUUUAGAAAAUUGGAGAGAAUGCAUAAGGUAUAGUUGCCAUGCUUCACGGUGAAGUAUAGAAUACUCUAGAACUAGAUAUUUUAGCAUGGUAGAAAUAUAAGAAACUAGAUAAAGAUGAGAAGGGUUCUAGAGUUAGGAUAUUUUGUAUGGAAGAGUGUGGAAGUAGGAGUUAACACAUGUCUAGGAGUUAACACAAAGAAGCAGGUCCACUACACAAAAGCAGCAAGAGAAUGCUAACAUAAAGAGACGCCUUUUCACUAUUCUGAGAACCAUAAAGUUCAUUUACAACAUGGUAUGACGCAGUACCCUACAACAAAUAGAGUUAGUGACUUUAAAACUGGAAGCAUUACAAAUAUAGGAGUACAUCGUUAUUGAUCUCGCGAUAGUAAUUGGAAUGAAUGAUGAUAGCUACAAUAUUACAAACUUCGCCAAAUGAUUAUGCUUGCGGAAAGCCAAAAAUAACAGCUUAGUCCAAUUUUCUAGAGAAUCUAAACUAGCAUGAUUAAUACAUAAUUGUAUAUACAGCUUUGACUUCACUAUAAUGGAAAAAAUGUAGAUUUUUUACAAAUUCAUGACCACAGAUUUGCAAUAUCCAAAGUUCUAGCUCAGUGAAAAAGAAGGAAGAAUAAACAAUUAGUUGGUGACUUGCUGAAAUCACGUUCAUUAUAGUUUCUUGAAUAACAGGUCUCUUCGCUUGAGCAAAAUUGAAAAGGGGCAUGGAUAUAAGUGUGUUUGACUAUAACAUUACAGGAACAAUGGCAUAAUGCUUCAAAAUCAUAUUCUUACCAUGAGCCUGUCAAACCUCUUGCAAUCAUCUUGUUUAGUUUCCUCCACCAAUUUGGCCAGCAUAGAUUUGUUGUAGUAACAAAUUCGUGGAGUCACAGAGGCAUCGCUUUUGAAUUUAUCUGACUUUAGGUUGUCCAAGUAAUAUAACUGUAGGCAUAAGUUUACCGUUAGAUACCCAAAGAAUAUAGUCUUUCCUGUAAUCUAGUCCCAAAGAAUACAUGCUAUGUCGAUGACACUAGUUGGUGACUUGCUGAUCAUUUUCGCAAACAAUAUGGGAAAAUGAUAAACAUUCUAGCAGUUGCAAUCUAUUUUAUAGAAAAUACUGAAUCUUGUAAUCAUGAUAUAGACCACACAAAGAUCACUACAAAAUAUCCUAUGUUCCAGUUAUGUGAGACUGUAGAUCUAUACUAGUUGCCACCUUAGCACUUGCAAAACAAAAAUGGCAGCUAGUGCAUUCAUCGAACUGCUGCCUCAGCAUUUGCAAAAUAAAAAAAUAAAUAAGGAAUAAGGUUAUUCAUCAAUAUUGGGAACUGACCUUAGAAUAGUGGUGGAUCUCAUGAUUUGUGAUUGAAGAAUCAUAUUUCUGUUCAUCAGAUCCAAGCUUGGGAUCGGGCUUCUCAUCAUCCAACUGAGCAUUAGCAGGAGCUGCAAAACAAAGAACAGAAUAUUAGCUAUGUUUAAUGAAAGGAAAUGUUUCAACUUACAAGGAGUAGAAAUGACCGUAAAAAAGAAGUUACCUUCAUAAAUUUAAGAGAUAGGAAAUCGCCGCUCAAUAGACAAUAAGUCCCACAUCUUGUACAAGUAAAAUGCUCUAUUAGCUAGGUGCGGGAAGAGAGGGAACAUGUGAGGCAGCAGAAUGACUGCGUCUUUCCAUGUAUGAGGAUUGGUUGCCAAAGUGUGAUUAUAAGGCAAACUGAAAGCCACCAUAUCAACCUGGGGUUCAACAAUAUGGGCUUGGGAAUGGUGAUGGACAUCAAAACUAGAGCUUCAGCCAAGUUCGAUUUCAUACUAUCAACUUUUAAGAGGUGCAUUUGCUGGUCCUUCUUCAUCUUUUUCUUAAGCUUCUUGAAAAUCUUCUUUUGCUUACUUGUCAAAGCACCCAAUCCAAUAUCCAGUCUAGUACCAUCAACUUGAAAAUGAGAUUGACACCACUGCUUCAUCAAAUAAUAGCUGCUGCAAACUAGUGACACAUAGGACCCCAUCACUGAAUGAACAUAACUCAUCAUCUUCAUCACAUCAGAAUCAAGACCACGAGUUGGCAGUUGUUUCCUCACCAACCUCUGGUACUCCAUGAAAACAGUGGCCAACAUCUCAUCGCACAUGAACUCAUGAUGGUAGAUGAUCUCUUUAUACGAAAGAGACCCUAAGUCAGCGAUAUCAGCUUUUAGACCCUGGGUGAUGACUGACAAACCUCUAUACUCUUCUUUCACCAGACCCUUGAGAAAGGCACUGAAAGAGUUGUUUAUGACGAGAGAUGUAGGAUCAACUGUUUCACAUUGGUAACAAGAUUCAGCUACUUAAAGCAUAGAACUUCAGCAUCUUUCAAAACACCAACAUUACCUUCUGAAAAAGGGUCUAAAAGAGAAAGUGAUUGGACAUCACAUAGAUGCGGAAGGAUAUAUUCAGAAUGUAUCCAUUUCCGCCCCUUGUGAGAGGUUCUAUAGGGUUUAUCGCUGUCAACAGUGGUAACAAGUCUAUCACACGGAACCUCAUUAAAAAUUGGGUUUUUCUUAACAAAAGUCUCUACUGGAAACUUUCAAUCGGGAAUUCUAAAAUACCAUGAGCCGACCUACAACAAUUAAAUUUUAAACAUUCUGAACAUCACAUAGUACUCAAAAUAGUUGACAGAACAAUAGUAAUUAUUAUACAACAAACACACAUAUCAACAAAGUUAAUCCUAAAACUUGUAGGCAAAAUCUAAAAUAGCAGAACUUGUAUUCAUUUCCCAAAUCAACCACACAGAGCAUGUAGUCACUACAGCAAGUUUCAAAUAUUCUGAACAUCACAUAAUACUCAAACAGUUGACAGAACAGUAAUACUCAUUGUACAACAAGAACAUAUAUCCUAAAUGCAGCACGCACGUAUUUCCACGAUCCCAACUCCCAACCCAUUCCCUAAGCUCGUGUGCCGUCACGAACCUUCGUGCAUGCUUCAUUGUACAAACAGAAUUUUCCGGUUUGAUUAAUUUUUUAGAGCCUUUCUCAGGGUCGAGCAGAUGAGUGUGCGACCGGUUCGAUUGAACAGGGCCCCCAAAUUGGAGGGGCCCACCAACCGGACUAGUUUCUAUAGGCCCGUCGCCCGUUGGUUGAUGGCAGAUUGGUAGGCGCAGGCGCUAGGUCUCGCAGAGUCGCAGGCAGGACAGGACAAGACGCCAGCGCUAGGAAUCCAUACUCAAUAGAAUAAUAGAUCAAUACUCCCGUGACCGUCGAAGUCGGAUACUCGAAUAAAUCAAUACUCAAUAGAAUAUAGAUCCGUUCCGACGCACACCGCGGACUCGCGACCUCGCAGGUGCGUGUGUCGGCCUGUCGCCGCCUCGGCUCCUCGCCGGUACGCAGCGCGCCAGCGCGUCUGCGCGUGUCGGACUGUCGGCCAAUCGCUGGUGCGCAGCGGCAGCGCGUCCUGCUGGCCAUGCCGUCGAGAAUCGGGAUCCUGUAUAAUUGCAGAAGACUAUUUUUUUCACCGAUCGCUACAGGUAUACUAAUCUGAUCCAGUUAAUUUUUAAUAUUUUAAUCAAUAUUGAUGGGUGAUGACUAAUAUAAUAUUGAUCCACCUAGAUGUUCAGUUAUAUUUAUUCUGGUUCUGAAUUAUCUAGUGUUCCAAUACAAGAUUGUAGUCAUGUCUUCUGUAAACCGGUCUAGAAAGUACAAAUCUGGUUACCAAAAGCGUAAGAAAAAACAAAGAAUAGAGGAUCUAACUCAAUCUCAAAAGGGGGCUAUGGAUAAAUUUGUUAGAAAAGAGUCACUUGAUCAGGGAUAGGGAACUGCACUUGAUAAUGAUGACAAUGAUCCUAGAGAUGGUCAGAUAGAGACAGAAAAUAUUGUUGGGGUCGAGGAAGUUCUUAUUGAUAACACAAACAUUGAAACGGAUAACAAUGCUGAUAACAUUGAGGCCAAUAGUACUAGUAUUAACUUGAACACUCACCAAUUGUGUAUGUUAAUGAUUCCUUUCAGCCUGAUAUAUUUGAUCCUAGAUAUUGGGAUUCCCUUGAUCAUAAACAAAUUGAUAUUUUAGCACAGAAGGAUCCUAUAAGAGAUUUAUCAAUUCAGAAAGGUCCUAAGGAUAGGUAUUUUAGUAGGUUUUCUGCACUAUUCUAUACAAGAAUUUUUUGGCUUGUCUAUUCUAAGGAACUCGAUAGGAUCUUUUACUUUGGUUGUAAAUUAUUUACAAAAGGCCAUCGAAAAUGUUAGUAGGCAAAUGAGGGGUUUAAUGAUUGGAUACAUCUUGGUGUUAAACUUAAAGAGCAUGAGACAAGUCGAAACCAUGUUUUGAGUAUGACAACUUGGUAUGAGUUGCGUAGUAGAUUGCAAAAGGAUCAAACUAUUGAUAAAGCCGCUCAACGACAACUCGAGAAAGAAAAGGACCAUUGGAUAAAAGUUUUGUUCAGAAUUAUUUGCAUUGUUAAAUUUCUUGCCAAGCAUAAUCUGGCUUUUCGUGGGACUAAUAUCAAACUGUAUGAAGAUAGCAAUGGGAAUUUCUUGGGAUUGGUAGAGAUGUUGGCUGAAUUUGACCCAAUUAUUCAAGAACAUGUUCGUCGUAUUACAAGUGAGGAAACUUAAGCUCAUUAUCUUGAUUUUAAGAUUAACAAUGAGUUGAUACACUUGCUUGCUUCUGCUAUUAAGUCUGAAAUUAUUAAGAAAAUAAAGAGUGCAAAGUACUUCUCUGUCAUACUUGAUUGUACUCCUGAUGCAAGCCACCAAGAACAAAUUUCUUUAAUUAUAAGAUAUGUUGACUCAUCUUCAAGUGAUGUUCGCAUAGAAGAAUCCUUUCUAGGAUUUUUGGAUAUCAACGAUACAACUGGGCAAGGACUUUUUGAUGUGCUAGAGAAUGAACUAAAGCUCCUUGGUCUUGAUAUAGAUGAUGUGAGAGGACAAGGUUAUGACAAUGGGUCAAACAUGAAAGGAAAACAUAAAGGGGGUAAAAAAGAAACUUUUGGAUGUAAAUCCUCGUGCUUUCUAUUCUGCUUGUGGUUGCCAUAGCAUUAAUUUAACACUUUGUGAUAUGGAUAAGACUUGUGGUAAAGCUAAAAACUUCUUUGGAAUCAUCUAGCGCAUCUAUACAACUUUUGCUAAUUCUACCAAGAAAUGGCAGAUUCUAAAAGAUAACAUAUCAGAUUGACUCUCAAGUCAGUAUCAGCUACACGUUGGGAGAGUCGUGUUGAAAGUGUUAAAGCUAUAAGAGUUCAGUGCAUAGACAUUUGAGAGGCUCUACUUCAGGUACCCAAUAUUGUUGUAUUGAUAUUUGAUAAUGAUAUACUUAUUUUGGCUAUCUCCAACUAUAACACAUAUUUUCUUCCUUUCAAUUUUAGGUAUCUGAUGUUGAUAAUGAUCCAAAAACAAGCAGUGAGGCUAAGGGCUUGGCAAACAAUGAACUUGGAGAGUAUGAAUUUAUAGUGGCAAUAGUUAUUUGGUAUGAGGUAUUAUAUGCUAUUCAUUUAGUAUGCAAACACUUGCAAGCAAAGGAUAUGCUUAUUAAUGUUGCUAUUGAGAAAGUGGAAGGGUUGAUUUCUUUCUUCAGGGGUUAUAGGGAAACUGGUUUCUUAGAAGCAUUAGAGAUUGCCAAAGGAAUUGCACUUGAGAUGGAUAUUGGUACAACAUUUUGUAAAAGAAGAGAAAUUAAAAGAAAGAGACAUUUUGAUGAGAACCUAGAUGACACAAAUGCUGCUACACAGUCUGCAGAGGACCUAUUUAGAAUCAGCUAUUUUUUACCUACUGUUGAUCAAGCAAUUUCCUCACUUACAACAAGAUUUGAACAAUACCAGAGUUACCAACAAAAUUUUGGUUUCUUAUUUACCUCUGAAACAUUACAGUCAUUGGAUGACAUGAGUUUGAAAUCUUCUUGUGAUAAUCUUGGGGCUGUCCUUACAAAAGAUGGAAAAUCUGAUGUUGAUGCCAAUGAUUUGUAUGUGGAGUUGAAGUUUCUUCAAGAUUUCAUUCCUAAAGAAAAUAUGGGUCCUGUUGAAAUUCUAAAGUUCCUAAAGCGGCAUGACUGUUUUUCCAAUGCAAGUAUUGCAUAU